rnacentral:lncRNA from 1 species
GACAACAUAUUAUAAAAUGAUGGAUUAAACUCGAUCGAUCGAUAGAUAUAUCCGUCUUAUUUUUCCCAAUUAUGCCUUGGAAAAUUGAACUUUCAUCAACCUUACUGAACCCUGCAAUAUACCAUAUUAAACCAACAUUAACAAAUCGAUACAAGUACACAUCAUUAUUUUAACAUGUUAAAUCAUAUAAUUUUAUUAAUCGUCGUAUAUGAAUUAAACUAAAGAAAUGUAUAACGUACUUCGAGCAGUCAGUAAAAGGCUGAUCUUGUAAGGAAUGCUUACGCCACAAGCACUAGGUAUACCAGCGGCUUUGCCUAGAUUAAGGCCUUUAAUAGCAUUAGCAGCUGAUUUGAGGCAAGUGCAUGCUGUCUUUCGAUCCGCGGGGGUCUUGGCUGCGCCCAAUAGACCCUUAACUCCACGACAACACCCUCCUAGAGGGCCUUUUCCCUGAAGAUAAGGGAGGCAUGGAGCUAAGCCAGAUUCAACCUGGCCGCAACUUAGUGCUUCUCCAUGGGGUGCAACCACUAUCAUGCACAAAACAAUAAAGCAUGCAAUUUUGCUAGACAUUUCCAUUUGUUACAAAAAUUUGAGAAAAGAUAGAGAAGUUCUGUGGACUAGGAAUGUAUUUGCUUGAGUGUUGGGGUACAAAAGCUAGUGAGAACUUUAGGUAUUUAUAGAUAGUAAAUUAAUUAAUGAAGGAGUGAGAGAAUUAGUUGGGAGUUGGGUUUAACUCCAAUAAUUAAGGAGGUGCCUCAUGCUGGCUAUGAAGUCAAAGUUAAGUUGUUAACGUGCCAAAGUUUUAUUGAAUAAUGCUACGACUUAUUAAGGCCCUUUGAAAAGCCACACCCUUAAAGGCAAUAUGGUUUUUCUAAGUGACUUCUGAUCGAGAGAGAAACAACUUCAUUCGUUAUAUAUGUAUUACAAUUUUUUAUGGUAGUAUUGUAUGAUUGGAUAAUUAUUUUUUUCAUUUUUUUAUAUAGUCAGUUUUUACUUUGUAUUUAAACUAAGAAAUAAUGUAAUUUUAUUCUUCUACGUAUUUUUAUUUAAUUUUUUUAGAAUUCAAGUUUUCAAUCAAUGACUAUGAAUUAAUUUAUUUUAAUUAAUUAAUUUAAUCAAUCAACAUAAAUCAUUUACUUAAAUUUUCAAGUUGAUUAAAUGUAUGUUUUCAAGGCUAAUAAAUCAUAAAAAUUAAAAAAAGAAAUAAUAUGAUAACCAUAAAUUAUAUGAAAUGACAAACAUUAUUAUAGAUCAACUAUAUAUAAAACAAAAAGAUGAGAAAUAAAUAAGAUUGGAGGGAUUAGUGUGUUACAUAUAUCCUCUCUCAAAAUAAGUGUUGUCUUACCAAAAGUAUAUUUCAUAUUACUUGGGUUUUAUAAGAAAAAUAAAUUAAAAAAAUCAAAAGUUUUAUUAUAUUUUUGUUCUUUCUAUAUGUUUCCUCGAUUUAUUUUUAUUUGUGUAAUUUGAAAAUUAAAGUAAUAAUUUAUCAUUUUAUAUCUAUUUUAUCUCUUGUAAAUAAUAUUUAUUUAUUACUAUCUGUACGACUUAUAAUAAAUACGAGUGAGAUAUCGUGGAAUUAUCUUUGCAUGUGGUAUGUCUUAUGAAAAUAAUACAUACAUAUCCAAACUCCACCAAAUUAAAGGUAAAAAGAAAAUAAAAGUUUGAAGAACAUAGCAUUGGUUAGCCCCAUUUUUUUCAUGACUGCCCAUGUCAACUUUGAUUUCCCUUUAGUUUAGAUUUUAGAAAAUAGCUAUAAAUUUAAAUGAUUUUUAUUUUAUUUUAAGAUAUUUUUAAAUUUAAAUCAAACACUCCCUAAAGUUAAAAGUAACUUCAAACAGACUCGAAGUUUGGCUCUCUACCUUAAUUAUCUAUAUAAUUGAUCUACUUACAAUGUAUUUAGACACUUUUAUACUCUCUUUCAUUCAAGUUUAUUUGUCUAUGUUGAAUUUGAUAAUUUCUUAAAAGUAAUAAGUAAAAUGAUAAUUUUGCUACCUUUUUACUUUAUUCAUCUCUAAUAAAGAAGUAUUUAUUCAUCAAAGAAUCAAUGUAAGCUCACAAAAAGAGAAAUGUAAGCACCCUCAUAUGCAUUGAGUUCAAAAUCAAGGCACAUAAAGAAAAUACAUUUUAUACAUGUUUUUAACCAAAAGAAAACAGAUUCUUAUACAUAUUAUAUAUAUAUAUAUAUAUAUAUAUAUAUAUAUAUAUAUAUAUAUAUAUAUAUAUAUAUAUAUCACUUGUAAAAAUUAUAAAUAAAUCAUCUCAUGAGAGUUCGAUUCCCAUUUGAAAUUUCCUCUCCAUUUCUCUUUUUUCUAUCCCCAAUAUAAAAAAGUAUUUACAAGAUAGUCCUUAUUAGAAAAUAUAUGUUGUAAUAUGCAUGUCAAAUAAAGGCACACAUUUUAAAAACAGUGAGCUAUUUAUUAAGGGAAAAUAUAUUUGGCAGGACACUUUUUUGGCACGAAUUCGGUUAAUUUUUUUUUUUUUUUUUGUAAUUUUGUUGAAAAGGGAAGAAUAAUGGAGUAAAUUCAUUUAUUUUUUUAUCCAAAAUACCCUUAAAAUAAAAUCAUUUUGAAUAUAUCAGAACCACUUUUGAGAAGUCAAACUCAUAAUUGUUACUUUUUCAGUUCAUAUUGUCCACGAAAUUGGGGUCCCCCUUACCAAUAAAUGUAUUAAAAGUUAUGUUUCUUUCUCCUUUUUUUUUAUUUUAUAUCUUUUUCUACUCCUUUUUUUCCUUUAUAUUACAUCAUAAUUUUUUAAUUAUUAUUCUUAUUAAAUAUAUUUAUUUAUCUAGAAACUUCGUAUUCUUAGUAAGAUUGUUUUGCUCGUGAUUUAAUUUGAAUUGUUUUUUAAUUAAAUGAAAAAAUUUAAUUAAUUUGAUUUUUCAAAUAUUUAUCAAGUCAAAUUAAUUAAGUCAAUUUUCAUAAUUUUUUUUGUAAAUUUUUCUUGCUAUUUGAUUUUUUGGACUUCUAAAAAAUAUAUGAUACUAUAAAAUUUUGUUAAAGUACAUAUAUAUAGGAUCCUUCAGAAAACAAAUUACGCAUUAUUUAAAAAUUUAAUUAUUUUAAAGAAAAAUGAUAAAAUUAUUUCAAACGAUUUUAAUAUUUUCUUACAAUAUUAAAGAUGAAGAUAUGUUAAGAUAUCUUGUUAAUAUUUGAUUUAAAUAAAAAUAAUCGUUGAAAAUAAUCAACUGAUAAGAAAGAGAGUAAAUACAGUUCUUUACGUAAUUAUGAACGAAUGCAAUUGCAGCUUCAAUGGUUAAAGCUUAAACGAAGAGUCUAUAGGUUACAAGUUAGAUUCUAGGUUAUGUCCCAAUUUUAGGUAUUUUUUUUUAAAUAGACUCUUUGAAGCUAUUAGGAUUUAAAUAAUUUUUAAUGUUAUAUUACUUUGGUAAAUAUGAUUGUAAAAGUUUAUAUUCAGAUUGUUUCAUAAAAAUUGAAGAUUUUUCAUUAUUAUAAGUCGAUCAUUAUGAUAAAAAUAAAUGUACUAAAUAUAGUAUUAUAUGAGUUAUGCACCCUUACAAAUACAAGUCAAUUGAAUGUGAUUAUAUAUGCAUGAUCAAGUUAUAAUAAGAUAAUACUAUUAUUUAUGACUUUGAUCGGUUUAUCUUCACAUAUUAGGAGUUAUUAGACUAUAUUUAUUGAUAAUAUCACAUUUUAAAUUUCCUAGUGAUAUUUAUUAAACAACUGAUAUGAAAGAGAGUAAAUAUAUUUCCUUAUGUAAUUAUGAAUGAAUGUUAUUGCAGCGUGAAUGGUUAAAGCUUAAACGGAUAGUCUACAGGUCACAAGUUUGAAUCUAGGUUAUGUCCCAAUUUUAGAUUUUUUUUAAAAAAAAAAGAUUCUUUGAAACUUUUAGGAUUUAAAUAAUUUUUAAAUUCAAUUUUUUGGUGCAUAAGAUUAUAAAAGCUUAUAUUUGGAUUGUUUCAUAAAAAUUGAAGAUUUUUCAUUAUUAUAAGUCGAAUCAUUAUGAUAAAAAUAAAUGUGAUGGGUACAAUAUUAUAUGAGUUAUGCUCCCUCACAAACAAGUUAAUUGAAUACUAUUAUGUAUGAAUGAUCAAAUUUUAAUUGGGUAAUACAAUUAAUUAUUGUACAUGUCAACCUUUGAUCAAUUUAUAUUCACAUUUUAGUAGUUAUUAGACUAUAUUUAUUGAUAAUAUCUCAUUUUAAAUUUACUAGUGAUAUUCAAUAAACAACUGAUAUGAAAGAUAGUAAAUACAUUUUCUUUCAUAGUUAUGAAUGAAUGCUAUUGCAGUGUAUAUGGUUAAAGCUUAAACAAAUAGUCUAUAGGUCACGAGUUCGAAUCUAAGUUUAGGUUUCCAAUUUUAGGUUAUUUUUAGUUUUUUUUUGUAAGUCUAUAGGUCAUGAGAUUUUUUUACUUUUUUCUCCAGACCUAUCGUAUGCACCAUCAAAAUCUUCAUGAUUUUGGGACAACAAACUAUCAUCCUCAUCUAAAUCCAAAAUAUUAUUCAAUACUUCAUUUAAUUGACUAUUCGAAUUCAUCUUGUUAAAAUUAUAUGAAUCUAACGACAAAAUAAAAUCUUGAACAAUAAAAUAAGAUAAAAUUGUGAACGAAGUAAAGAAGAAAAAAUGAGUAAGGUAAGAGAGAGAGAGAAAAUAAGAAAGAAAAAGUUUAAGAGUGAUUUUUUAUUUUGAAUGGAAACAACAAGUGAUUUUAAAGUCAAAAGGUUAUUUAGUCAUUUACUCAUAGCUUGCCAAUUCAUGCCAAAAAAAUAUCUUGUCAUUUAGUAAUACUCAUUUAUUAAAUGCUCAAUUUGAGAUUGAUUGAAAAUACAUUCCCUUCUAGGGAAGAGGUUUCAUAUUUUGGAAGGACAAAUAUGAGAUGGAGACAUAUACUGCUAUCUGAAUAAUCAAAUAAAUUAAUUGUGAAUAAACUGCCAUGCUCACACCUACCUCAAAGCACCCACCACAUUUCAAUUUUCAUUUAAGGUUUUUGGGUCCAUCUAUUUUUUAACUUUUACAAUAAUCUCUCCGUCUCAUAUAAGACAAAUAUCUUAUUAAAAAUAUUUAUUUCAUAUUACUUGUUUAUUUAGUAAAUUAAAAAAAUUAUUACUUUUUCAUUUUAUCUCAAUAAUCAAUAUAACACAAAACGAAAGAAAUACUAUAUACCUAACACGUGCUUGAGAAUAUAUUUUUAACUUGUUUGGAAUUGGACACCGGUGAAAAUAAAAUAAUAGGUGGCAAUAUGAUUGUAAAGUUUUCUCAAUGGGUCAUUCUCUCUCGGUGUAGGUUACUAACGUGCGUUGGCCAUGGGGAAGAGAGCUCGUGCUCCAUCGCAGAAAACUCUAAUGGCACUGGAAGCAACAACAAAAGGAAAUCUACAUAAAGGGAAAAAGGCAUAGUAGCUUGAACUCCAGGAAGAAAUAGGAAUUGGAUCUGAAUCUAGGGAAAUGGAACAUAGUAAGGCGGAGGUGGAGAAAGAGCACCAGUUGGCUAAAUGAAAUGCCAAGUAUGUAGAGAAGGAGAACAAGGUAGUAACACAAAAACAUUGGGCAGGAAUCACAAAAUCACAAUCUUUGAAAAUGGGGUCUCCGUCUGAAAAUGGAUCGGCGGCAUGGGCAGAUGAAGUAGAAGAGGUAAUGUUGCAGAAACCAAAGGCUGGAAAAGUGUGGGAUACAUUUGACAUUUCUAAACUAGCCAAAGUUGGAUUCAAGUUAGAUUACUUGGCUCCAGAGAAACAUGGUGAAGGGUCAAUAAUCGACAUUGAUUUUGAAGAUAUUGAGUCUGAAGUUAACUAUUGGAAUAAUGUGGUGGUUUGUUAUGUACUGGGUGCACACCUUCCAUUCACUGUAAUUAACGGAUACAUCCAAAGAAUUUGGGCAAAGUAUGGGUUUAACAAGAUGGCGAUGCUGAAAAAUGGAGUCAUGAUAGCAAUGUUUAAUUCAGUUUAGGGAAAAGAGAAAGCGCUAAAAGUAGGAAUUUACCAUUUUGACAACAAGUCAUUUAUUGUCAAAGCAUGGUCAAUGGAUAUGUAAUUCACAAAGGAGGAACUGAAUUCUGUUCUGAUUUGGAUAAAACUUUCAGAAUUUGACUUCAAGUAUUGGAGUCCAAUAGGAUUAAGUAAGGUCGGGAGUUUGAUAGGAAAACCAUCACUGGCUGAUCAGAAUACUGAAAAAAAGCAGGGUCUUAAUUUUGCUAGAAUCCCAAUUGAGGUAGAGUUGGGGGUUAAUCUUCCAAAAAAAAAGUGUAUUUCAAGAAUGUGAAAGUACAGGUGAUAGAACAACAAGUCGUGUAUGAUUGGAAACCCACCCACUGUAAGUUUUGUGACAAGUAUGGGCACACUAGUGAUGAAUGUCGAAGGAAGAAUCCUUCAAAGAAGAAGGGAAUUAUGAAGGAAUAAGAGAAGCAUGGACAACCACAAACAACAGUUGGCCAGAGUAGUGAAAGACAAGAGUUUAAACACGUUGAAUUAAGAACUGCUGCGAAAAAUGUGCAAUGUGAACAACAUCAGGUUGAACACGGGGAAUUAUCUUUGAUGGGUUGGAUAACACCAUUCAAAAUCGGAAGGAGCCAAGGUCCGCAUCAAGUACAAAUUGCUAGUGAUAAUUCAUUCCAAAUAUUUAACAAAUCUAAUGAGGUAAACAACUCAACUCCAAGGUCUGGACAAAUAGUAGGUGGUAGAACCAUUUUUCCAGAAGGGAAUGGUUAGUAUGAUAUGCUGGAAUGUGAGAGGGUUUAGUGCCCAGAAUAAGCAAAAUGAAGUGGUAUUCCUCUGUAAUAAGGAAAAUGUGGGAUUGGUAGGGUUAGUUGAAAUGAAAGUAAAUAGUAAAAAUAUUGAGAAAGUGGUGAAUAAAAUGUUUGGAGGUUGGCAGUUCCUAACCAACCUAGAAUCACACUACAAUGGCAGAAUUUUACUAGUAUGGAGACCAGAUUACUAUAAAGUGGAGCUAAUGAGAAGCUUAACCCAAAUGUUGACUUGCAAGGUCUGUUAUAUACUUCUGCAAUUGACGUUUAUGGUGUAAAUUGCUUAUGCAUACAACAUUAGGGAGGAUAAAAGAAAACUGUGGAAGGAAAUUAAAAACCAAAGUUCAAAUUUUCCAAAGCCAUAGCUAUUAUUGGGUGAUCUUAAUUAUGAUUUACACGCUGAAGAUAGAAUUGGAGGAAACCCCAUCUCUUUACCGGAAGUAGCAGAAUUUCAAGAUUGUAUUGAUGUAAGUGGCUUGAUAGAAUUACCUCAUGAAGGAAAAAAAAAUACACAUGGAAUGAUAGAGUGAUAGGGAAUAGAAUUCAAUCUAAGAUAGAUUGGAUGUUCAUCAAUUUGAUAUGGUUAAAUAGUAUGCCGUCAUGUGGAACAUUGUAUCUACCCGAAGGUAUAACUGGCCACUGCCCUUCAAAGGUCUAAUUACAAAAUCAAGUUACCAGAACAAGAAGAGCAUUCUAGUAUUGUAAUGUUUGGGCACAACAUCCACAAUUCAAUGACAGAAUCCAAGCAGUAUGGGACACACAUGUGGAGGGAUGUAAAAUGUGGAAAGUGGUGAAAAUAUUAAAAUUAUUGAAACCAGGUCUGAAGAAACUAAAUACACAUUAUUUCAGAAACAUUGUUACUGAUGCAUGUGAAGAUAGGGAGGCCUUGUUAGAAGCGCAACAGAAGCUUUAAAAUGAUCCUCAAAACAAGUCUUUACAGGAAGAAGAUAAAGUUUAAUAUGACAAGUACAGGUACACUUCCUAUAUGGAUGAAAGCUUUCUCUAACAACGAAAUAAGGCAACAUGGUUGAAGCUAGGAUAUGACUGCACGAGAUAUUUUUUCGCUGUGAUAAAACAUCGGAGACUCCAGCAGAUAAUAACACAAAUUAUAGAUGACCAAGAUGAAUAGCAGUAUGAUCAGGAGGCGAUUGCAACUAUAUUUGUGAGUUUUUAUGAGCUAUUCGGGUAAGAAGAUUCUACGAAGGAGGCAGAUUGCUCAGCUUUCUUUAGUAAUGGUCAUAUCCUUUCUAUAGAGUAACAACUAGAAGUGCAACAGAGGUUUAAGCAAAUGAAUGUCAAGGAAACAAUGUUCAAGAUAGACUGCAACAAAAGCACUGGCCCUGAUGGAUACGGGAGUGGAUUUUUUACAUCAUCUUGAAAGAUUGUGGGAAAAAAUAUUACAGAGGCCAUCCUAGAAUUCUUCGAAAAUGACAAGUUUUUGAGACAAAUUAAUGCUAUAAAUAUUACCUUAAUUCCUAAAGUUGUUGUUCCGAAAUUUGCCAGCCAAUACAGACUUAUUUCCUGUUGUAAUAUAUUGUAUAAGUGCAUUACAAAAAUGAUCUGCACAUGACAAGACAUCUCCUAGAUGUUUAAUAAAAAUUGAUCUGAGGAAGGUAUACGAUAUGGUGAACUGAGAAUUUGUAAAGAAAGCAUUACAGAGAUAUGGGUUUCCUAAAUUGGAAAAAGAGAUACGAACGGAGAGGAAUAACCAAUCGAUGAAAGAACAUGAAACCAUUCUGUUUCAAUAUAGGUAUGAGAAACGGUUGGGGGCAAUGAAGUAGGUGAAAUGGUUUGGAUUUAAGUAGAUUUACAGAACUUGUCAUGACAUGUGUCACAUCCGCUAUGCUUACGGUUAAGGUAAAUAGAGAAGGGAGUGGUUUUUUUGCUGGUAAACGAGGAUUAAUAUAGGGGGAUCCUAUGUCGCCUUUGUUGUUUGUGCUUGUAAUGGAAUACUUGUCCUAAACUUUGAAGUGUAUGAGUGAGUUGCCUGAUUUUCAUUUUCACCCAAUGUAUGAGAAACUCAACUUGACGCAUUUAAUAUUCGCAAACGAUUUGAUGAUGUUUUGCAAAGGGGAUGUUCAAUCAGUAAGCAGAAUAAUAGAGGCUUUGCAGCAUUUCAGUAGUGUCACUGGUUUAGUUGCAAAUAUGGAGAAGUCAAACAUAUUUAUGGCAGGGGUAAAUGAUAUUACCAAAAAGCAAUUGUUGCUAAGAACAUGAUUUUCGCAGGGCUCUUUUCCUAUUAGAUAUCUCGGGAUGCCGUUAUCUUCUAAUAAAUGGAGUAAAAUGGAGUGUCAUUAACUGAUACAAAAGAUCACGAGUAGAAUAACAAAGGUCUACUCAGAACAGUUAUCCUAUGUAGGAAGACUACAGGUGACAAUAUCAGUAUUGUUUGAUUUUCAUAACUUUUGGGGUUCUGCGUUUAUUCUACCACAGGGUGUAUUAAAAGAAGUUGACAAAAAAUGCAGAAAAUACCUCUGGAGCGGUAAGUAUGAUAAGAGGAGGACACUAUUAGUAUCUUGGGACAAAGUGUGUCUGCCUAAGAAGUUCGGUGGACUAAAUAUUAAGGGGAGCAAGUUGUGGAAUGUGGCGUCGGUGGGAAAACUUUUAUGGCAGUUAAUAGUCAAUAAGGAUGUAUUGUAAGUCAAAUAGUACAUGGGGUGUAUAUGAAGGAUAACCAUGAUAUCUGGGCGCAUACAUCACCGCAAGAUAGUAGUUGGUACUGGAGGAAGUUGAAUGCACUGGAGUCUGAUAUGGCGGAGUGGUACUCUCAAGGAGCUUAUGUCCUAGCAGAAAAUGGGAAGUACUCAACAGGAGCCAGUUAUGCAGUAUUGCUAGGCAUAAAGAGAAAAAUGAGGAUUUCAGACUUGAUAUGGAGCAAGAUCUCUCAACCAAGGCACAUAUUUAUAAUAUGGUUAGCUGUACAUGGUAGAUUGUUGACAAAAGAUAGACUACAAAGGAUGAAUAUACAAGUAGAUAAUAUAACAUGCAACUUGUGUGAUGACCAGUCUAUAGAGACACAACAUCACCUUUUUUUCUGAAUGUAAUUGGAUGAAAGGACUCAUUACAGCAAUGACUCAAUGGGCUGGAGUGCAAUUUCCAUCGAGGAAUGUCAAACAUGUGUUGAAUUGAAUCAGAAGGAGGCACUGGAAGCAAAUUAACAAGGAAAUAAUUGCAGCACUGUGGGGUUCCAUACUAUAUCACGUGUGGAAGGAAAGGAAUUGGAAACUGCACAGGGGAACUAUUGUCAUUAUGAAAACUACAAUCACACAAAUAAAGAUAAGUUUUAGUGUUAGAUUAGAGUUAGAAACACUAGGAAAGGCAAAAAAUGUGAUUUGUUAUUUCAGCAUUUUACUAUGUAAUUAGAGAUAUGUUGGAGGUUUAACUCAAAACAGUCCUUCUUCGAAAUAGCUGUAAAGUUAAAUGUUCUUUAGGUGUAUUGAUUUGGUUGUUAAUGGUAAUAUAACCAAAACAAAUAUGAUUGUCAUGACAAUAAUAAGAGAGUACAAAGUAUGAUCACUUGAAGUACAACUAGGGCCUACAGGUAGUAAAAUAGUUAUUGUUUGAUCAUUUUAAUAAUAGGUUAAGUAAAAAUUAAUAGAGAAAUUUUUGCAAAUAGUCAUUAUAGUAAAUUUAAUUAUGUUUCAUAAUUAUAGGUUGCAUAUUUAUAGAUUGUAGCUAUAAUUUAAGUUGUCUCGUUUGUAUUAUUCGUGGAUACAUUUGUAUAAUUCACGUGUACGUUUGAAUAAUUGAGAUAAUUUGUAUAAAUUCGUAAUUACGAAUUUAUACAAACACAAAUAUUUAAACUUUAAAAAGUGAUACAAAUUAUAUUAUAAAAAAUUUAUACAAAUUUUAGUAUUUAAAUUUGAAAUUAUACAAACUCGAAACCCUAUCCCCACAUAAUUAUUAUUGAAUGUUGAUCUCGAUUCACUACAACAAAAAUGAUCACUAUCGGCAAUUAAUUCUCAAUUGUGCUAAACGUGUAUUUUUAGCGGCAAUUGACACUCUUUGUAUCUGUCCCUUAAACUUUUAACGACAUUGGUUCUAAUGAAACUUAACUAAUGUCGGUAAAGACUUUAACACUCUUUAUUAGGCCUCAUUUGUUUGCACUUAAUGGAGGUCUGAAUCUAAAUCAUUCAAAUUCAGCUUAUUAAGUACAUUUGGUUUUUAGGUUUGAAUCUCAAUCAGCCCAUUAAGUUCAUUUGUUUUAUUUUUAAAAAGCCUCUUAAUGGGUCUGAAGAGGUCUGAAUGAAUCAGAUCUGUAGGAGACUCUUAACAACAUUCAGAUUUGUUUAAUAAGUUAUCAAAUAAUAAAUAUCGCUUCUCUACUUUAACCGUGCUUUUUGUCGCAUAACUAAAAACUUUGUUUUUCUCUUUUCUCAAUCAAACGUCAUUUUCCCCUUCUUGAACUGAUAAAUUUUCAUAAAUCUUUUCAAGUUUUUUUUUAUAUUAAUUUUCUUGUAUUGACUGUGUCAAAAACAUUGUUGGUGUAUUAGCUAGCGUUUAUCAAGGUUUUUGAAUGAAAAAAAUUUCCAAAAUCAUGAUUAUUAAAACUUUUUAUUAUCAAAAGCGAUAUAUUUUGUUGAAAUGAAAUUUUUAUUAUAUUUUAUUAGUUUAAUGUUAAUUUCACAUGCACAUUCAGAUAUUGAAAACAAACAAUAUUAAUUAUUUAGUGUUCAGAUUUAGAGACCACAUCUUAAUAUUCAGAUGUGUAUUCAGAUCAAAGUACCUGAAUCUUAAUAUUCAGAUGUGUAUUCAGAUUCAGACCUCUUAGUCUGGCUGGAAACAAAUAAGGCCUUCCGCUAUUUUUGUUGUAGUGAGUGGUAAUUAAUUAAAAUUAUAGUUAUAUAAACUAAUUAGCUAGUAUAUGUUUGCUUAACUAUACUAUUUUCCCAAAUAAGUUUAUAUUAUCCAUCAUAAAAUAUAAAUAACCACACGUAUUAGAAUGUAUAAAAAUAAUGUACAAUAGAGUAUAUUAGUAACACUUAUAUAUUAGUAAUAUUUGUAUUAGUUAUGCUUGCAUUAGCUAUAUAUAACUUUUUAUUUAUGCAUUGUUUGGUUUGAUGUAUUAAAAAUAGUACGCAUUGUAUAAUUAUAUUUAUUUACAAAAUAGUCUCCACAAUUAUGACGGAAAAAACGUAAAAUGUUUUUAGGGUCAAUUGGGUCUUUAACCAUAUUAAUACACAUAAAAAUUAAGAAAUUGACGCGACUCCUUAAAAAGGGCAUGUAAUUACAGUGGGCGCGAAAUGGCGUGAGCAUAUGUGAUGAUUCCCCAACUCAAUGCGGAGGAGCUCGUAAAGUUUGCUGAGAAAGUUUUUUGUGUGCUUUGAGCGCAAGAUCCAUGGGUUACCACAUAUGAAAAAUUAAGGAAUUUCUGUAAUUCCUAAAAAAAGGGCCUGUGGGUGUGGAAAUGAGCAAGAAAAUAAUAGCAUGAGCAUACGUGAUAGGUCCCAACUCAUGAAUUUGGAGGUCCUCAUAAAAAAUUUUCAAAUUUUUUUUUGCGUGCUCAUGGCUAAAGAUCUAUGGGAUAAUACAAAUAGAAAAUUGUGGAAUUUAAGCUAUUUCAAAAAUGGGCCUGAAGAUGCGGAUAUGAGUGAGAAAAAAAUGGUGUGAUCAUGCGCGAUGGUUCCCAACUCAAUAUAGAGGUCAUCCUACAAUUUUCUUAGAAAUUUUUUGAGUGCUCCAAGCGCCAAAUCUAUGAGCUAAUACAUAUAAAAAAAUUGAAGAAUUCACGCGAUUCACAAAAAUGACAUAUGGAUGCGAAAAUGUGCGCGAAAAAAAUGGUGUGAGCAUACAUGAUGGUUCUGCAACUCAAUACGGUGGUCCUCAUAAAGUUCUUUCAGAAACAUCUUUUGGGUGCUCCAAAAGUCAGACCCAUAGGCUAAUACACACAAAAAUUGAAGUAUUUGCGUGAUUUCAGAAAAGGCAUGUAUAUGCAAAAAUGGGAGAAGAAAAUGGUGUGAAUAUAUAUACGUGAUGGUUCCCAACUCCAUACGGAGAUCCAUAUAAAGUUUUUUGAGAAAAUAAUUUUUGGUGCUCCGAAUAUAUCGUCUGUAUGGUUGCUACGGAGCAUCUGAUUUGUAUAGAUCGACAUAUCAUUUGUAUUAAAGCGCAAUGAUUGUAUAUAUAUAACUAUAACAGAGGAGGAGGAGGGACUAGGGAAGAGGAGGAGGAGGAGGAGGAAGUUGUCUCAAUGUAUUUGAUAAAUAGUUUUUGUGAUAAGAGGCGGACCCACCCUUUUAGGUAGGGUGCACGUGCACUUGUUAAUUUCGGUAAAUAAAAUCAUGAGUUUGUGAGUGUAUGUGUGUGUAUUGAUAUAUAUUGAAAAAUUGAGAGAAAUUAGAAUAUAAUUAACGUACUCAUCAUAAAAAGCAUAAGUAUAUAUGUUAUUGUGCUGCCGGUACAAGCUAAAGUAUGCACAUGCAAGACUUGAAUUUGAAUCUAGCUAGAGUGUUGUUUCACUUUUUUUUAUGUUAAGCUUAUCAUAGAGGCUAAAGCUUAUAUUUGAGCUAAGGUAAUAUUGGUGCACCAACUUCAAAUUCCGAUUCGCCUUUUGCAGCAUUAGUUAUUUUUAGCCAAUACGAUAACUAAAAUGGAUCGGAGGGAAUAUCAUGAUUUGAAUAAAGGAUCUAACCAGAGUCAAAUUUAAAUAUAUUGAUGAAAUUUCUAAAAUUCCAACGUUAUAUCAUCCUUUUCUUAAGAAUUACCAAAUCAUAAUUAGAGUUGAGAAAAAUUUAAAGCAGAAAAUAACAUGUAUUACUAUAUGAAGAUUGGGUUGUAACAUAAGCAACCACCAAUGUUCAUUACAAGACUCGACAAUAUAUAAGUACUCCAAAUUACAAAAGAAAAGAGACAACAUAUAUAUAUAUAUAUAUAUAUAUAUAUAUAUAAUGAUGGAUCAAACUCGAUAGAUAAAUCCAUCUUAUUCUUCAUCUCCACAAGCCAGAUUUAGCUUUCAUCAACCUUACUGGACCCUGCAAUGCAAUAUUAAAUCAACAUUAAAUAUAUAGUAUGCGCGUACACACAUAUAUAUCGUUUUGUAACAUAUAAGUUUAAUCAAUAGUCAGACAUAUAUAAAUUACAAAUAAAAGAGAUAUUAUACUGUCAAUUGAAUAAGUAUAAUCACCGUACGUUGAGCAAUCAGUGGAAGGGCUGAUCUUGUAAGGAAUGUUGACUCCACAAACUCCAGGGAGCCCAGCGGCUUUUCCUGUAUCAAUGCCCUUAAUAGAAUUAGCUGCCGAUUUAAGGCAAGUGCACGCUGUCUUCCGGUCUUCUGGGGUCUUGGCUGCGCCCAAUAGACCCUUAACACCACCACAACACCCUCCUAGAGGGCCGCGACCCUCGAGAUAAGGGAGACAAGGAGCCAAGCCAGACGUAACCUCGCCGCAGCUCAGUGACUCUGCAUGGGGUGCAACCACCACCAUGCAAAAAACCACAAAGCAUGCAAUUUUUCCAAACAUUUCCAUUCUUAUAAAAAAAUUGAGUAAAGAUUAUAGAUAUAGUAGUACAAUUGUAUUUGUUUUGUGUGUUAGGUGUAAAAGCUAGUGAGUAUUUAUAGAGAGGAAAUUAGUGGAAUUAAAAAUGAGAGAAUUAGUUGGGAGUUAAGAGUUAAAUGAAAUGAGUAUAAAGUCAAAUUUCGUUUGUUACGUGACUAAUUUUUAUUGAACCACGCUAUACACGAUUUAAGGCCCAAUCCACAAAUUGUCCCAAUACUACUUUUCCUGUUACAGUGACGAAGUCAGAAAAUUUAAUUAUAUCGUAAUCUUUUUCUUAAAAUAAUGUGUGUUCGAUGGCUCUACUCAUGCUUUGAAUCAUUUUAUUUUUUAUUCUUUAUGGUAUAAAGUAAAUGUUUUUUUUUUAGAAAAAAAAAAAAUACAAGGAGAAGAGUGGUUAUUAAAUAAAGAAGAGUAAUAAAUAAGGAGAAGGGUGGGAUGUAAAAAAGUCAUAAUACAUGAAAUUGAUUAAACAAUGUCUCGAGUACAAACUAAGGAGACAGAGUACCUUACUGUUAGAUGUGGAAAUAUUAUGGUACAUGAGUUAAUUUUGAAACAAAUGACCCAUUAAUUUCUUUUAAAAAUUGGAUUUAAGGUGUAAUGUUUAUUUAUUUAAAUAAAUCAAUUUGCUUUCAUGACUUUUUAUUUUUAAAAAUGAGUUUAAGGUGUAAAGUUUAUUACUUAAUUAUAAAUGAUUAAAUAUUUUUGUAUGUUCAAUACAAAUGCUUGUUUCCGGUCAAAAAGAUCAUGAAAAAAGUAUACAAAAUAAUUAAACCUAUAGCAAAAUUAUAAUUAUGUGUUAUAGUUAUAAGUUGCAUAAUUUGCUCACCAUAGCGAAUAUGCUAUGGCUAUUUCGCUACAUAUAUAUAUAUAAAAGAAUUUAAGAUAUAUAUAUUUAUAUAUAUAUAUAUAUGUGUGUGUGUGUUAUAGUUAUAAGUUGCAUAAUUUGCUCACCAUAGCGAAUAUGCUAUGGCUAUUUCGCUACAUAUAUAUACAAAAGAAUUUAAGAUAUAUAUAUAUUUAUAUAUAUAUAUAUAUAUAAUAUAUAUUUGCAUAAAUUAUUGUCCGUCUCUCGUGGCUGCCUUUCAAUUCAAUUUUAUGUGUUUGUAUAUCUGUAUAUAAUUUGAAUUUGUAUACAAUUUAAUCGAAAUAAAAUGUUGGUAUAUCAAAUAUUGCUCUCUGUUAUACAUUGUAUUUUAUAUAAUCUAUACUUCUAUAAAGCGAGAAAGAGAAAGACAAAAGAGACCUAAGCAUGAGAAUAUUUGGAUUGUAUAAUUAUAAGUGUAUAGAACAAAAAUAUUUGUAUUUGCAUGUGUACAUACAAUUUUCUUCCGCUUUGUACAAACAGAAACACAAUUUAUACAUUUUUGUUUGUAUAAAGCGAGAGAGGCGGGGGAGAGACUGGCGAACAAGAGAGGGAGAGUGUCGAGCGAGAAUUUCAAGGAGAGAGGCGAGAACUGUGGUUUUAACAUCUAAUUUAAAUCAAUAGUUUGUCAUUAUAUACAAUUUUCUCAAUUAAAAAAAAAUAAAUCUUUUUAUUAAAUUAAUUUAAUUUACUUUUCAAUUUGGAUCGGUUUAUAACUAAACCUAUCAAAUCUUAUACAACAAUUCGUCAAACCUCAUGUCCCUGAUUACCCCUUCUUCCUUGUGGAGAGGUUUAACAACCAUCAAAGGAUAUAGGGCCACCCUAUAAUAAAACAAACUUUAAACGGUAAUAGAUAUAUAAUACAAUUAUUAAUUUUAUCAUUAACAUAAUAGAAUUAGUUAAUUAUCAUUGGUGUACUAUAGUUAUAGGCUUGAAAAUAUUUAUAAAGAGUGUUAAUUAUCUUUAAAAUAAAAUGUUUUGUCACAAUUAAGCUAUUAUUAUUAAUUAAUUAUCGCUAAAUUAAAACUAGUAGCGAAACUAGAAUCAGAAACAGAUUUAAAAAAAAUAUACGAAAUAUUUUUCUUAAAGAAGAAUUGUUGUUAAUAUGUGUCUAAAGAAUCUUACUCAUUCCAACAAGCUUUGCAAAAACACGAAGUUACCAAGUUUAAUGAACCAGUGAAGAACAAAAGAAUAGAAGAAUUGGAAUUAAUUCACAAAUCUAAAAUUUGUAAAGCACGUACCAGAAUCUGAAAAUUUUUAAUAGGAAAAAGAUCAAGUCUACUGAACUCACAGUGUUCCCUUAAGGAAAUUAUUCCCCUCUAGUAUCCGAGGUUUGAUUUGGAAUAUGACCUUCCAGGGUAAAAUAAUCUCAAUCAUCAGAGUAUAGAUACCAAAAACUCAGGUGUCAGUGAACCACUCAACGACAGUAAAGUACACUUAGAAUACUAGAUUUAGUAGUUGAAGAAGAAGUCCAUCAAUUCUAUUUUAAUAUGAGAGGAAAUCCCUCAAUUUAUAGAAAACAAAGGGUAGUGCAAAAAGGUUCUUAUUGUGCCUUACCGAAAAGGUCACAAACCUUUGGAAAAGUCACAAUCUUUCAGAAAGGUCGUCACCUUUCAUAAAAGUCACAACUUUCCAUAAAAGUCACAAGUUUUUAUAAAAGUCGCAACUUUUCAUAAAAGUCGCAAACUUUCAUAAAAAUCACAAUUUUUCAUAAAAGUCGCAAUUCUUCAUUUUCCAUUCACACCUUUUUAAAAUCGAACAAAAGAUCUUCGAUAUGAAUUAAUUUCUCUUAAUAAGACUCUACGUGAUUUGAAUAUGAAAUUAUCUAAGUUUAAUAUAAAUAAUAGUCAAAUUUUAAUACAAAUAUAAAAAGAAAAUAGAAAGAAGUUUGACGAAUAUGAGGUGGACACAAAUUGCCAAUCUAAUAGUCGACUGAGACUGAAGAAAUUAAUUGCGACAACAACCAAUGAAUACGACUUUCUCUAUUCAUUUUAAUUAUUCAUAAUAUUAAAAAAAAAAAUUAAUUUAUCCACUUAAUUAGCUUAUCAAGAUAAAUUAUAUAUUUUAUUUUAUUAUUAUUAGCUAUGUAUUCUAUUUUAUUUUUCAAAUUCAUUGAGACUAUAUAUAUAUAUAUAUAUAUAUAUAUAUAUUAUUGCUAUUUCUUAAUGGAACUGUAAAGCUUCUUAUAAACAAGUAAAAAUAACAAAGCUUAUAUUUAUUAAUACAUAGGUUCAAAAUUAUUACCCCUAAGAAAUUAAAAAGGUAUUAAUUAUUUUCUCGCAAGUAAUUUCUUUCAAGUUUCAUAAUGUACAAAGCAUUUAAUAAUCUUUCAUAAUUGAUAUUUUCUAAUAAUUUCUUUUCAAUUAAUAAUAUAACCAAUCUAUGCAGAUUAAUAAUUUUUGAACAUAAUAUUUCAAAUAUAUAUAUAUCAAACUUCUUCUAAUUUUUUUUCUUUCUAUACGAGAAGCUCAAUUUUUCUAUAGUACGCUAUUAUUUUUUGUAAUAAAAAAUAAAAUCUAUUAUUGCUAAAAAGCAAAUGCCCUUCCUUCAAAUUUUGAGGUCUUAAAGGCACUUAUCUUUUGUUAAUUAACCUUGUAGAAUUUGUACUAGAGUAUUGUGGUCCCGUUUGACUUCAAAUAUAUUACGAGAAAAUUUGCAAGAAAAUUUAAAAAAUAAUGUUUGAUCAUAUAAUUUAUUAUUAUUUAGCAAAUAUCUAUCAAAUAUUUUAAUUUUUAAAUUUUAGAAAAAAAAUAAUAUUUGAGUAAAGUUCUAAUAUUUAGAAAUUCAAAUAAAUCACGUCAAACUUUUAUAUUUUAUAAAUAGCAUUCGACAUUUAUUAAUUCCAACUAAUAUUUAUCUACCAAGUUACUCUAUUAAUAACUAAUAAUUACUCAUCUGUGCUAUCUAUAUAGAACCAGACCCAAAAAUAACAAAUUAUUGUUAAUGAAUUAUCAUUAAUAACAAUUAAUUGAUGUAAUGUGUAACAACUUCAAUUUCACAAUAGAAACAUUCAAAUAUUAUAAUCGUUAAAGUCAAAGUUACAACGGAAAAUGAAACUAACAAGAAAAUCGUAAAACGAUAAUGAACUAGUAAAACAAAGAAACCAUUGAAGAAGACUACUAGAAGGGAGAUGAGAAACACAGACUCAAAAAAAGGAAUGAGAGGACUAGACACUUUUCUACAAUAAUUUACGUAAUCCCUAAAUCACGUAUUACUUAUAUUGAAAGUUCGAACCGUUUUAUACCCACUACUCAAUUCGAAUCCCAAAUUAACCUGGUCCUAUAUUUUUAGCCCAAUAACAACUUAUAUGACAUUAAUAUCUAUAUUUGGUUAAACUUGAUUCAUAACAUAUUGCUCCUACCCAUAUUUUUAUUUUGUUGUGAAUUGAUAUUAAUUACUUUAUAAGCUAUUUUUUUAAAAAGGAAUAUGUUUAUUAUAAAAUGACAUUACAAACUUAAAAUAAUUUGUCAAAAAAAUUUAAAAAUUUGAGGCACACUAGAUGUGUACCGUGUUGUGAUAGAUGGGUUGUGUAGAGAGAGGAGAUUUACGAAAGCACAAAAUUGUUUGAUAACAUACUUUUUAAUUUGCUUUUAUAAUCCUCUUUUUUUAGAAAUAUUUUAUUUUUAGUUUUUAGGUAACAUGUUUAAGGUCAUAAUAAGACUAAAUGUCGUUUUGAUAUAUUUGACAUAACUUCAAUUUAGGAUCACAAGAUUAAAUUAUCUUUUUAAACUUUGUAUCAAGUUAAAUUAGAUUGUUAUUUUUUGAAAUGAGAGAAAAUGAUCAAAUGACCCCUUAACGUAUAACCGGAUUUUCAACUAUACACUUAAAUUUUAUGGGAGUCCUAUCACCCUCUGAACUAUUUAAAAAUGAAAUAAUUAUACCGUUAAAAAGCCAUAACCACCAAAUCUAUGGUGGAAUGUGAGUUUCACCACAUCAUCAAAUUAUUAUUUUUUUAAUUCUUUUCUUAUAUAUUCUUACCUAUCUCUUGAAAUACUGAAGAUAUUUUCACCAUUUUCACCAUUACUAGAACACCACGAGUCCAUUAAAAUUGGGUCUUUAAGGAAUAAUAAUAAUUUCAGAGCUCGUUCAAAGAUAUUUGGAUUUUGCUCAUUUGAAACCUAAAAAUCAAAUUAGAAAAAGUUGAAGGGGGAAGAGAAGACGAAUAUGAUGGAAUAUUGCCAUUAAUGGUGGUCACCGAAGAUAAGAAAUCCUCUCAAGAAAGAUGAGGAAGAGGAGCCUACCAUGUCUUCCACAUUGUCAUCUAUAGCGACGACAAUUUCAAAAAAGAAGACACCGAUUAUACGACAAUUGAUGGACUAACUAGAUUAAUAGCUAGAAUUUUUGAGAUAUAGUUGAUUAAUUGAGAUUUGAUAUUAGUAAUUAAAGGAUAUAUUAGAAAAAAAUUAUUUUUUUCUGGUUGGCCCAAUCAGAUUCAAAGUAAACUCAUAUUAAUUUUUCUCAAAUCAGAUCCAAAGCAUCUUGGGGUGAUAUAAAUAUAUGUCAUCAAUUGAUUUAGGUUGAUUGAUUUUGCAAGAGCUUUAUAAAUGUUUGAAAAUUUGUUUGGAGUCGACGAAAGUGAAGAUGGUGGCUGUAAGACUUAGGUGAUUGAGAGAUUUGUUUAUAUUGAUGGACAAGAAAGAAAACAAACAAAUAAUUAAAAAUGCAUAUAUUUGUUGAAAAAAGAUAUUCCAUCUGUUUCACAAAAAAUGAUUUGGUUUGACUUGACAUGAAGUUUAAGUAAAUAAAGAAGACUUUUGAAUCUUGUGGUCGUAAAUCAAAGUUAUGUCAAAUGUACAAAAUUAUCUUUUAAUUUUAUGGUCUUAAAUAUGGCACGUGGAAAGCUAAAGUUAAAAUGUUAGAGGUCAUUCUUUUGGAAAUAAACUAAAAUGGAAAGAAUGUCACUCUUUUUUAAAUAAAAAAGAGUUUAACUACUAUCCACCGACGGUGGACAAAAAAUUACACGGGCAUAUAUUUUUGGAAAUAUUUAAUUUUUUAAUUAAUAUAUUUUAAUAUUAUUAAUAUUAAAAUAAAAAUAAUAACAGAGUGUUAUAUGGUAACUUGAAUUAUAAAUUAAUUGUACAAAUUUAAUUAGGAUUCUUAUUUGUCUUACCAAAAACAAAAAAUACAUAAUUUCUUGUGUUUUCUUAUUGGAAAGCACUUCAAUCCUUCAAAGAAAAUCAUUGCCAACAUAUUUUUUUUUAUAAGAACCGGUACUUGUUGCCAUUGAAGCAAUGCUAGCAAAAUAUUAAUAAGAAACUAUUCCAGAAACAUAAAGUGCAACAAAAUCAACAUAUUCAAACUUAUAAGAGUAAGCAAACAAAAUCAAACACUAUUAAAUACGGCCCAUGAUUUAAUCACAAUUGCAUGCUUGGUUACAUUUUUUUAAACGAAAUCCUUCUUUUGAACAAACAAACUCUUGACCAAUAAUGGAUUUAUCUUUUCUUGAUCUACUAAUUCGAUUUUUGCGCACACUAAAACCAUUACGAUGAGCAUAAUCAAGAUAAAAUUUAAAUCUAGUAUCAAGUGAUUGAAAUUCCAUACCGAUGUAAGACUCUCUUAAUUCUUGCUCACCUAGUUGAGGAACAAAAGAUACAACUGCAUUCAUGUUGCUUUCUAUAUCCUCCAAGGAAUCUUCAAUUCCUUCUGCAUUUUGCUCUUCUAAAUUAGAGAUUUCAAAAGUUUCCUGCAAUACACAAUUAUUAGAUAUUAGACUAAUAGGGUAAGUUAGCUUUAAAAUUUUAAAUAUUUUUCAUGGCUAAUGUAUUGAACUUCUUCAAUUUGCUAAAAAGUUCUUAAACGUAUUCUUUAAAUAUCUUCAUCACUACAAAACAUAAAUUUCUUCAUACAUUAAAACAAGAAUAUUUCUUUGAAACGUUUAUUCAUGUUGCGAAAAAGAUUUAAUAAGUUAUGUAAAAAAAGAUAUACGAGGAAAACGCUACCAUGAUAAUUGUUUCAAAUUGCUUCAAUGGUGGAUAGUUGGUUGCUUCAAUGGUUUAUGUAGAAAAAGAAGAACGUUAAUCCAACUAAGAAAACACAAGAAAUUAUGUAUUUUUUAUUUUUGGUAAGACAAAUAAGAAUCCUAAUUAAAUUUGUACAAUUAAUUUAUAAUUCAAGUUACCAUAUAACACUAUGUUAUUAUUUUUAUUUUAAUAUUAAUAAUAUUAAAAUAUAUUAAUUAAAAAAAUUAAAUAUUUCCAAAAAUAAAAUGUCCGUGUAAUUUUUUUGUCCACCGUCGGUGGAUAGCAGUUAAACUCUAAAGAUCAAAUAAAGUUUUAAUAACAGAUUUUGGUGCUCACUCUCCAGAGAGAGUCAAAUACAUUUAGGGAACUAAUUAUUUCAAUUUUGAAUAGUACAAGGGAUGAUUAGACCCCCGUGAAAUUUAAUUGUAUAGCGUUGAGGGCAUUUAAUCAUUUUCUCUUUGAAACAGAGAAUAUAUAUCAUUACGGAUCUAAUCUCCAAAAGAUGAAGAGUGAGUAAACCCUGAAUAAUUUGCGACAUUUAAUACGUUGUUUACUUUAAUUAAUGGACUUAUAAUAAUAAGUUGGAAAGGACCGAAAAAGUUUAAUAUAUAUUGCAUGGUGAAUUUGUACCUUCAUGAAUUUAUUUAAAAGUAUACUUUUUAUAGGCAUUUGUGAUGGUGAUGAUGUUAUAAGUAUAUUUCUCAAUAAUUAGCAUUAUACGUGUAAGAAGUGGUUAGAAAAAGGAGGUACCUAGAUGAAUGAGCACACAAUAGCGUAUACUAUAUUACUCGAAUUUGAUAUAUAUGUGUAAUGCAUAUUAAAAGAACCCUAGUAAAAGUAGACCAAAAAUAUUGAAUAGACGAGAGAGUACAUAUACCAAAUAAGAUAGAUGUGUAUUAUCAAAGAUUAGAUUAAUACAACAUAGCCAAUCGUGAAAUUUCGAUACAAGACUCGACUACACACGAUUUUAAAAGAAACACAGGAAAACAGAAAGUAACAACUGAUAUAAUAUAAUCAAUCGUCAAAUUUCGAAACAAGACUCGAGUACAUACGAUUUUAAACGAAACACAGAAAAAAGAGAAAGUGACAACUGAUACAACAUAGAAAGAAAGGAUCCAUAAGCAAGAUCAAUGCUAUCUAUCUUAUUCUUAAUUCUCCUCAUGAAACCAAAUUCUGAUGAUCAGCUUUACUGAACUCUGCAUUGAUAAUGAACAAAACCAACAUUAAUAAUAAUAAUGAUGAUAACAAAAACAUAAUGUACUAACUAUAAUAGUAUUUUUUUUAUUAUAUAAUUACAUAUAUAAAUAUUUUGAAACUAAUAUUUCUUAACAGUAAAAUAUAAAUAAAAAAAUGCACUUAUUUUUUGAGAAAACCAAACACACUUGUAGGUGCUAGCACAUAUCAUUUUUUUGUUACUUUAUUUUUCAUACUACGAAGAGUUAGGUGUUGUUAUAGGUAAAAAAAGAUGAAAAAUUUAACAUACUUAGAGCAGUCAGUAGAGGGGCUGAUCUUGUAAGGGAUGUUGACACUACAAGUGUUAGGGAGAGCAGCAGCUUUGCCCAAAUUGAGUCCUGUAAAAGAAGAAGCAGCUGAUUUUAGGCAAGUGCAUGCGGCCUGUCGGUCUACUGUAGUCUUGGCUUGACCCAAAAGACCCUUAACACCAUCACAACAGUUUCUGAGAGGACCGCGGUUCAUUAGAUAAGGGAGACAAGGAGCCAAGGUAGAUGUAACUUGACCACAAGUUAAAGCCUCUGCAUGGGGUGCAACCACUACCAUGCAUAAAAGCACAAAGCAUGCAAUCUUGUUAACCAUUUCCAUUCUUAAUGAUUUAUGAAAAUUAGAAUAGUAAUUAUGAGGUUUAUGAGGAAGUAGUGGAUGAGAAGAAAUGUGUUUUGGUUGAGUGUUUUUAUAGAGGGAAAUUUGGAGUAGAUGGCCAAUGGAGGAGUGAGAGAGGUAGUUGGUUGUUAGGUUGAAAAUUUAAAGCAUUUUUAUGGUUGUACAUUAUUUUGCUGGCUCUAAAGUCAUGUGGUAGCUAGUUCUAACAUCUUACGUGUAGGAGUUUUUUUUUUCUCACCAAAGUUCCCAUAAAUAGAUUCCUCGAUCAAUGUAGGACUUUUACCUACUUUAAUAUCCCUUUUUUUACGUAGAUCCAAUUGAGAUGUGGAUCGAAAAUUCAAACAGGAAUGAAUAUAACUCUAAUAUCAUGUUAAGAUAUGUUUUUUAGAUCUAAUUUAAUAAUAAAUGCUAGCUUAUGAGAGGAGUAUUGUCCACAUCCUUAUAAGUAAAUCAUCAGUUUAUUUCCUGAUUAACGUGAGACUUUUACCUACUCUAACAGUUUGAUCGAAGAUUUUUUUUAAAAAAAAAUUAUGAAGUUAUAGAGUUAAAGAUGAAAUUGUAUUGGAUAAUACUUUUACGAAAGAAUAAAAAUGAUGUGAUUAUAGCUUUAAAAAUAAAAAAAAUAAUUAAGAUUUUAAAUACAACUUCAAGUUAAAUAUUUUACGACCAUAAAUUUAAAUUUGGGAAGUGACGAAGUUUAUUUUACUUCUGGCGUUCUUAGCUGGAUUACAACAACGUUUAAUUAAUCAAGGUCUUCAUUAGUGUUUAGACACUUAACCACCCAAGUCUUUAAUGCUUUUUCUACUUACCAGCUUUAUCUCUUAAAAAUUGAUACAAAAUGACUACGUAUUAUAUUUUAUAAAGUUGAAAAUGUGUUCCAUUUUCUUUUUCAAAAUUAUCCUUAACACGUUCCUUAUUAAAUGUAUACAUUUAGAAAUAAUCAUAUCAAUACACGAUCAAUAGUUAUAACGUAUACUUGUUUCUUAGUAUUUCUUAACCCUUUAAUCACCAAAGAUGACGGUGGUUUUAUAAAUAGGCAUUUCAUUAAUAUAGAUUUUGAGUUUAAAUCAUAUUAAUUAUAAAGUCAUAUUAGUCAUUUUUUUAUGGUACCAACACUACAAUUAAUUACCGCUACAAUAUGCAUUUUUAGCGGGAAUUUAACACUCUUUAUAUAUGUUUCUAAAGUCUUUAGCGACAUUGAUUUUAACGACAUUUAACUAAUGCAGGUAAAGACUUUAACACUCUUUGUUAAUGUCAGCAUUUAUUACCGUCAAAAGCUGUUUUUUGUGGUAGUGCAAUUUAGGAUAAAAAGUCUUACAUCGAUCAAAUACAUGAAAGAUACUUUUCGUUUUUUAAGAGUCAAACAAUUUAAGUUUGACUAGUAAUUUACACACGGAAUUUUCUUUUUAUUGAAAUGAAAUGUAUAUAUAUACUUAUAAACUACGUAAAAGUAUUAUAAGUCAUAAUUCAAAAUAUUUUUAAAAUGUAUAAAAAAUUUACGAUUAAAAUAGAUUUGUUUGAAUCUCGAUAUUCAAAAAGUGUCACAUAAAAUGAGACGAAUGGAAUAUAUAUAUAAUACGUUAGUGAUGCGUUAUAAAAUUAUAUGGGCUUAAAUCUAAAAUGGACAAUAUUACUAAUGACUUGAACCUUUAAAAAUGAUAUCUGUUCAACUCAUGUGUCAUCUUUAUUGAUAUAUAUGGACCAAAGCUCUACAUAUAGGCAAAAUCUCAUGUGGUGGAGUAAACCACUGCGUCUAUAUAAGAGGAGGUGCAUGUGAAACCCCAGAUAAAAAGUGUAACAUCAACAAAAUCAAUUGAUGAAAACAUAAAUUAUAUAAAUAAGCAAAUUUUACAUUUUAAUGACAUAUUUUAAAAUCGCGCAGACCUAGAUUUAACUAGAUUCAGGUAGGAAAAAAGAAACAGAACCUGACACUUUGACGUUUCUUAUAUGUUGCACAAAGUGUUGAUUGCUAAUUGGACCACGAAUUCAGCUAUAUUAUUACAUGCUUUCUCUUGGUCCAUGUAGUAUAAAUUUGUGUCGGUCCCAAUAUUAAUUUGGUAGAAGUUGAGUAAAGAUUUGAGCCACCCAAACUCAUUAAUUAGGCCAAACAAGAGGAAAUUUCUUUGAGACAUAUAGUCUUACCUAGAGGCCUAUAAUUUGGUGUAUAAUGUGGGGAUAUGUUUCACAUGUAUGAGUAUUAUAAAGUUUAUAUAAGUUUUAUAUAAAUGAUUUUCUUUAAGAUAAUAAAAUAAUAUUUACUGACCUUUCCAGAUUGGAUUAUUUUUUGACCUAUAAUUUUAGGUUGAUUUUCUCUGAGUUGUUUCAUAUAUCAAUUUUGACUAUUUGUUUAAAUAGUGUAUUAAUAAUACGAGGUUGUGUAUUGAUUGGUGUGGUUCGAUUUGAGAAUUUAUCAGUUUUAUUUAUUGAUUAUUGGUUUGUAAUCAUAUUUUAACCGUUAUUGAACAGUUAAAAUAUUAAUUUAUCGAUUAUUGGAUUAUUAGUUAGUGAUCGCUAUCGAUUUGAUUAUUGGAUUAACAGUUCAAACAAUUCCCAUUGAGAAUUACUAAUGGACUAAUCACUCAUUACAAUACGCAGUAGUCAGUAGUCACUAUGAACUUUCCCCGGUUAGUCUAUCUACAUAAAAUACUUAAUGAAACUCCAUAUUAAUUCAAAUAGAGAUGUCAAUAUUGCCCAAACUAGCAAAUUCAAAAGGAUUUCUCAUAACAACCAAGCCAAUUUUGAUAUGAACUAUAAAGAGAAACCAUUACGACACUGCUAACAAAAAUCAUUAAUGAUCAUGAGACUUACUAAUAAAAGCUUUUUCGUUUGCAAAUUCUAGCAUAGGGCGAUAUACAGACAUAUCUCAUUGACUCACUCACUGUAACUAGAAGAUAAAAACAAACACUUAAAGUAAGGGAACCAACCAUCUUAACCUCAAUUUUAGACACUUAGAAAAUGCUAUUCAGUAUAACUUUUUGGCGUGGGAGCAGUGACAGUGAAUUAAUGAGUGAUGUCGCAACUCUAAAAAUUCCUAAGGCCUUAAGUGAUAUAAAUGUAAGAUACUAAACUUGUUAUUAGGUUAUCACGACACUCAAUUAGAAAUAUGGCUAAACCGAAAUCCAAAUCGGUAAGACGAUGAAAAGUUUAUAAUAAAUUGAGAUUCGAACCGUUAAAUUAUUAAUCUGAAUCUUUGACCCAAUAAUAAAUAUCAAUCUCGAUUUGAUUUGAUCAGCUCUAUGGUGAUAUUUCAAAUAAAAAUCAUGAAGUUAAAUUAAAAAUUGUUGUUUUUUAAGUUGCCACCUAAUGCAUGGAAGAACUUGAUUAAAAAAGUGUCACGACCCAAAUCCGGGCCGCGACUGGCACCACACUUACCCUCCUAUGUGAGCGAACCAACCAAUCUAACCUUAACAUUUCAAUAUAAUAUCAACAGAAAGUAAUGCGGAAGACUUAAACUCAUUAAAUAAAGACCAAUUCAUUAACUUCUAAAAUUCAACAUCUAUUAUUCCCCAAAAUCUGGAAGUCAUCAUCACAAGAACAUCUACGAUCAAACGACUAAACUAAGAGUAUUCUAAAAGCUAAAAAUACAUAAGAAGCUAGUCCAUGCAGGAAGUUCAAGGCAUCAAGACUUGAAGAAGAAGAUCCAGUCCAAGCUAGAAGCAUUAGCUCACCCUGAAUUUCCGAUGUAGCAAGACUGACUUGAAUUACUGUUGAGUUGAAGACGAUGGCACGUUUGCUGCACUCCACAAAUAAACAAGAAGAGAACAUAAAAGUAGGGGUCAGUACAAAACACGGGUACUGAGUAGAUAUCAUCGGCCAACUCAAAAUAGAAAUCAAUAUAUACCAAGUAAUAUCAUAAAAUCAACUAUGAUACUCAACAUGUAGCAACAACAAAUACUAUAUCGUUAACAAUUACCGUCAAGUUCACACAUGAGGACUCAAGCCUCGAUACCAUACUCAUUUGGGAAUCAUGUUCAUUAGAUUGAGUAUAUUAACAUCUUUCAAGAUUCAUUAUCUUUAUUUCUCUGUGUCGGUACGUGACACUCCGCUCCCUCAAUAUUCAUUAAUCCUCUUGUGUCGGUACGUGACACUCCGAUCCCCUAAAUCUAUGUGUCGGUUCGUGACACCCGAUCCCCUAAAUCUAUGUGUCGGUUCGUGACACCCGAUCCCCUAAAUCUACGUGUCGGUUCGUGACACCCGAUCCCCUAUACUACGUGUCGGUUCAUGACACCCGAUCCCUAAAUCUAUGUGUCGGUUCGUGACACCCGAUCCCCUAAUUCUACGUGUCGGUUCGUGACACCCGAUCCCCUAAUACUACGUGUCGGUUCGUGACACCCGAUCCCCUAAUUCUACGUGUCAGUUCGUGACACCCGAUCCCGAGCCAUCCAAUGGUUCGUGCACACGACUCAUAAUCUCUAUGUCGGUUCGUGACACCCAUCCCCAAAUGUCUACGUGUCGUGUUUCGUGACACCCGAUCCCCUAAUCUAUACGUUGUCGGUUAUGACACCCUCCCUUCACGUGUCAGUUCGUGACACCCGAUCCUACUUAAUUCUACGUGUCGGUUCGUGACACCCGAUCCCUAAUCUCCUUCCAUCAAUUCAUCAAGCCUUCUUUCUCAAUUGUAUCUCAAAAAUGAGAAUUAAUUCUCAAUUGUGCUAAACGUGUAUUUUUAGCGGCAAUUGACACUCUUUGUAUCUGUCCCUUAAACUUUUAAACGACAUUGGUUCUAAUGAAACUUAACUAAUGUCGGUAAAGACUUUAACACUCUUUAUUAGGCCUCAUUUGUUUGCACUUAAUGGAGGUCUGAAUCUAAAUCAUUCAAAUUCAGCUUAUUAAGUACAUUUGGUUUUAGGUUUGAAUCUCAAUCAGCCCAUUAAGUUCAUUUGUUUUAUUUUUAAAAAGCCUCUUAAUGGGUCUGAAGAGGUCUGAAUGAAUCAGAUCUGUAGGAGACUCUUAACAACAUUCAGAUUUGUUUAAUAAGUUAUCAAAUAAUAAAUAUCGCUUCUCUACUUUAACCGUGCUUUUUAUCGCAUAACUAAAAACUUUGUUUUUCUCUUUUCUCAAUCAAACGUCAUUUUCCCCUUCUUGAACUGAUAAAUUUUCAUAAAUCUUUUCAAGUUUUUUUUUAUAUUAAUAAUUUUCUUGUAUUGACUGUGUCAAAAACAUUGUUGGUGUAUUAGCUAGCGUUUAUCAAGGUUUUUGAAUGAAAAAAAUUUCCAAAAUCAUGAUUAUUAAAACUUUUUAUUAUCAAAAGCGAUAUAUUUUGUUGAAAUGAAUUUUUAUUAUUUUUAUUAGUUUAAUGUUAAUUUCACAUGCACAUUCAGAUAUUGAAAACAAACAAUAUUAAUUAUUUAGUGUUCAGAUUUAGAGACCACAUCUUAAUAUUCAGAUGUGUAUUCAGAUCAAAGUACCUGAAUCUUAAUAUUCAGAUGUGUAUUCAGAUUCAGACCUCUUAGUCUGGCUGGAAACAAAUAAGGCCUUCCGCUAUUUUUGUUGUAGUGAGUGGUAAUUAAUUAAAAUUAUAGUUAUAUAAACUAAUUAGCUAGUAUAUGUUUGCUUAACUAUACUAUUUUCCCAAAUAAGUUUAUAUUAUCCAUCAUAAAAUAUAAAUAACCACACGUAUUAGAAUGUAUAAAAAUAAUGUACAAUAGAGUAUAUUAGUAACACUUAUAUAUUAGUAAUAUUUGUAUUAGUUAUGCUUGCAUUAGCUAUAUAUAACUUUUUAUUUAUGCAUUGUUUGGUUUGAUGUAUUAAAAAUAGUACGCAUUGUAUAAUUAUAUUUAUUUACAAAAUAGUCUCCACAAUUAUGACGGAAAAAACGUAAAAUGUUUUUAGGGUCAAUUGGGUCUUUAACCAUAUUAAUACACAUAAAAAUUAAGAAAUUGACGCGACUCCUUAAAAAGGGCAUGUAAUUACAGUGGGCGCGAAAUGGCGUGAGCAUAUGUGAUGAUUCCCCAACUCAAUGCGGAGGAGCUCGUAAAGUUUGCUGAGAAAGUUUUUUGUGUGCUUUGAGCGCAAGAUCCAUGGGUUACCACAUAUGAAAAAUUAAGGAAUUUCUGUAAUUCCUAAAAAAAGGGCCUGUGGGUGUGGAAAUGAGCAAGAAAAUAAUAGCAUGAGCAUACGUGAUAGGUCCCAACUCAUGAAUUUGGAGGUCCUCAUAAAAAAUUUUCAAAUUUUUUUUGCGUGCUCAUGGCUAAAGAUCUAUGGAUAAUACAAAUAGAAAAUUGUGGAAUUUAAGCUAUUUCAAAAAUGGGCCUGAAGAUGCGGAUAUGAGUGAGAAAAAAAUGGUGUGAUCAUGCGCGAUGGUUCCCAACUCAAUAUAGAGGUCAUCCUACAAUUUUCUUAGAAAUUUUUUGAGUGCUCCAAGCGCCAAAUCUAUGAGCUAAUACAUAUAAAAAAAUUGAAGAAUUCACGCGAUUCACAAAAAUGACAUAUGGAUGCGAAAAUGUGCGCGAAAAAAAUGGUGUGAGCAUACAUGAUGGUUCUGCAACUCAAUACGGUGGUCCUCAUAAAGUUCUUUCAGAAACAUCUUUUGGGUGCUCCAAAAGUCAGACCCAUAGGCUAAUACACACAAAAAUUGAAGUAUUUGCGUGAUUUCAGAAAAGGCAUGUAUAUGCAAAAAUGGGAGAAGAAAAUGGUGUGAAUAUAUAUACGUGAUGGUUCCCAACUCCAUACGGAGAUCCAUAUAAAGUUUUUUGAGAAAAUAAUUUUUGGUGCUCCGAAUAUAUCGUCUGUAUGGUUGCUACGGAGCAUCUGAUUUGUAUAGAUCGACAUAUCAUUUGUAUUAAAGCGCAAUGAUUGUAUAUAUAUAACUAUAACAGAGGAGGAGGAGGGACUAGGGAAGAGGAGGAGGAGGAGGAGGAAGUUGUCUCAAUGUAUUUGAUAAAAUAGUUUUUGUGAUAAGAGGCGGACCCACCCUUUUAGGUAGGGUGCACGUGCACUUGUUAAUUUCGGUAAAUAAAAUCAUGAGUUUGUGAGUGUAUGUGUGUGUAUUGAUAUAUAUUGAAAAAUUGAGAGAAAUUAGAAUAUAAUUAACGUACUCAUCAUAAAAAGCAUAAGUAUAUAUGUUAUUGUGCUGCCGGUACAAGCUAAAGUAUGCACAUGCAAGACUUGAAUUUGAAUCUAGCUAGAGUGUUGUUUCACUUUUUUUUAUGUUAAGCUUAUCAUAGAGGCUAAAGCUUAUAUUUGAGCUAAGGUAAUAUUGGUGCACCAACUUCAAAUUCCGAUUCGCCUUUUGCAGCAUUAGUUAUUUUUAGCCAAUACGAUAACUAAAAUGGAUCGGAGGGAAUAUCAUGAUUUGAAUAAAGGAUCUAACCAGAGUCAAAUUUAAAAUAUAUUGAUGAAAUUUCUAAAAUUCCAACGUUAUAUCAUCCUUUUCUUAAGAAUUACCAAAUCAUAAUUAGAGUUGAGAAAAAUUUAAAGCAGAAAAUAACAUGUAUUACUAUAUGAAGAUUGGGUUGUAACAUAAGCAACCACCAAUGUUCAUUACAAGACUCGACAAUAUAUAAGUACUCCAAAUUACAAAAGAAAAGAGACAACAUAUAUAUAUAUAUAUAUAUAUAUAUAUAUAUAAUGAUGGAUCAAACUCGAUAGAUAAAUCCAUCUUAUUCUUCAUCUCCACAAGCCAGAUUUAGCUUUCAUCAACCUUACUGGACCCUGCAAUGCAAUAUUAAAUCAACAUUAAAUAUAUAGUAUGCGCGUACACACAUAUAUAUAUCGUUUUGUAACAUAUAAGUUUAAUCAAUAGUCAGACAUAUAUAAAUUACAAAUAAAAGAGAUAUUAUACUGUCAAUUGAAUAAGUAUAAUCACCGUACGUUGAGCAAUCAGUGGAAGGGCUGAUCUUGUAAGGAAUGUUGACUCCACAAACUCCAGGGAGCCCAGCGGCUUUUCCUGUAUCAAUGCCCUUAAUAGAAUUAGCUGCCGAUUUAAGGCAAGUGCACGCUGUCUUCCGGUCUUCUGGGGUCUUGGCUGCGCCCAAUAGACCCUUAACACCACCACAACACCCUCCUAGAGGGCCGCGACCCUCGAGAUAAGGGAGACAAGGAGCCAAGCCAGACGUAACCUCGCCGCAGCUCAGUGACUCUGCAUGGGGUGCAACCACCACCAUGCAAAAAACCACAAAGCAUGCAAUUUUUCCAAACAUUUCCAUUCUUAUAAAAAAAUUGAGUAAAGAUUAUAGAUAUAGUAGUACAAUUGUAUUUGUUUUGUGUGUUAGGUGUAAAAGCUAGUGAGUAUUUAUAGAGAGGAAAUUAGUGGAAUUAAAAAUGAGAGAAUUAGUUGGGAGUUAAGAGUUAAAUGAAAUGAGUAUAAAGUCAAAUUUCGUUUGUUACGUGACUAAUUUUUAUUGAACCACGCUAUACACGAUUUAAGGCCCAAUCCACAAAUUGUCCCAAUACUACUUUUCCUGUUACAGUGACGAAGUCAGAAAAUUUAAUUUAUCGUAAUCUUUUUCUUAAAAUAAUGUGUGUUCGAUGGCUCUACUCAUGCUUUGAAUCAUUUUAUUUUUUAUUCUUUAUGGUAUAAAGUAAAUGUUUUUUUUUUAGAAAAAAAAAAAAUACAAGGAGAAGAGUGGUUAUUAAAUAAAGAAGAGUAAUAAAUAAGGAGAAGGGUGGGAUGUAAAAAAGUCAUAAUACAUGAAAUUGAUUAAACAAUGUCUCGAGUACAAACUAAGGAGACAGAGUACCUUACUGUUAGAUGUGGAAAUAUUAUGGUACAUGAGUUAAUUUUGAAACAAAUGACCCAUUAAUUUCUUUUAAAAAUUGGAUUUAAGGUGUAAUGUUUAUUUAUUUAAAUAAAUCAAUUUGCUUUCAUGACUUUUUUUUUUUAAAAAUGAGUUUAAGGUGUAAAGUUUAUUACUUAAUUAUAAAUGAUUAAAUAUUUUUUGUAUGUUCAAUACAAAUGCUUGUUUCCGGUCAAAAAGAUCAUGAAAAAAGUAUACAAAAUAAUUAAACCUAUAGCAAAAUUAUAAUUAUGUGUUAUAGUUAUAAGUUGCAUAAUUUGCUCACCAUAGCGAAUAUGCUAUGGCUAUUUCGCUACAUAUAUAUAUAUAAAAGAAUUUAAGAUAUAUAUAUUUAUAUAUAUAUAUAUAUGUGUGUGUGUGUUAUAGUUAUAAGUUGCAUAAUUUGCUCACCAUAGCGAAUAUGCUAUGGCUAUUUCGCUACAUAUAUAUACAAAAGAAUUUAAGAUAUAUAUAUAUUUAUAUAUAUAUAUAUAAUAAUAUAUAUUUGCAUAAAUUAUUGUCCGUCUCUCGUGGCUGCCUUUCAAUUCAAUUUAUGUGUUUGUAUAUCUGUAUAUAAUUUGAAUUUGUAUACAAUUUAAUCGAAAUAAAAAUGUUGGUAAUCAAUCAAAAAUUGCUCUCUGUUAUACAUUGUAUUUUAUAUAAUCUAUACUUCUAUAAAGCGAGAAAGAGAAAGACAAAAGAGACCUAAGCAUGAGAAUAUUUGGAUUGUAUAAUUAUAAGUGUAUAGAACAAAAAUAUUUGUAUUUGCAUGUGUACAUACAUUUUCUUCCGCUUUGUACAAACAGAAACACAUUCAAAUAUUAUAAUCGUUAAAGUCAAAGUUACAACGGAAAAUGAAACUAACAAGAAAAUCGUAAAACGAUAAUGAACUAGUAAAACAAAGAAACCAUUGAAGAAGAGACUACUAGAAGGGAGAUGAGAAACACAGACUCAAAAAAAGGAAUGAGAGGACUAGACACUUUUCUACAAUAAUUUACGUAAUCCCUAAAUCACGUAUUACUUAUAUUGAAAGUUCGAACCGUUUUAUACCCACUACUCAAUUCGAAUCCCAAAUUAACCUGGUCCUAUAUUUUUAGCCCAAUAACAACUUAUAUGACAUUAAUAUCUAUAUUUGGUUAAACUUGAUUCAUAACAUAUUGCUCCUACCCAUAUUUUUAUUUUGUUGUGAAUUGAUAUUAAUUACUUUAUAAGCUAUUUUUAAAAAGGAAUAUGUUUAUUAUAAAAUGACAUUACAAACUUAAAAUAAUUUGUCAAAAAAAUUUAAAAAUUUGAGGCACACUAGAUGUGUACCGUGUUGUGAUAGAUGGGUUGUGUAGAGAGAGGAGAUUUACGAAAGCACAAAAUUGUUUGAUAACAUACUUUUUAAUUUGCUUUUAUAAUCCUCUUUUUUUAGAAAUAUUUUAUUUUUAGUUUUUAGGUAACAUGUUUAAGGUCAUAAUAAGACUAAAUGUCGUUUUGAUAUAUUUGACAUAACUUCAAUUUAGGAUCACAAGAUUAAAUUAUCUUUUUAAACUUUGUAUCAAGUUAAAUUAGAUUGUUAUUUUUUUGAAAUGAGAGAAAAUGAUCAAAUGACCCCUUAACGACGUAUAACCGGAUUUUCAACUAUACACUUAAAUUUUAUGGGAGUCCUAUCACCCUCUGAACUAUUUAAAAAUGAAAUAAUUAUACCGUUAAAAAGCCAUAACCACCAAAUCUAUGGUGGAAUGUGAGUUUCACCACAUCAUCAAAUUAUUAUUUUUUUAAUUCUUUUCUUAUAUAUUCUUACCUAUCUCUUGAAAUACUGAAGAUAUUUUCACCAUUUUCACCAUUACUAGAACACCACGAGUCCAUUAAAAUUGGGUCUUUAAGGAAUAAUAAUAAUUUCAGAGCUCGUUCAAAGAUAUUUGGAUUUUGCUCAUUUGAAACCUAAAAAUCAAAUUAGAAAAAGUUGAAGGGGGAAGAGAAGACGAAUAUGAUGGAAUAUUGCCAUUAAUGGUGGUCACCGAAGAUAAGAAAUCCUCUCAAGAAAGAUGAGGAAGAGGAGCCUACCAUGUCUUCCACAUUGUCAUCUAUAGCGACGACAAUUUCAAAAAAGAAGACACCGAUUAUACGACAAUUGAUGGACUAACUAGAUUAAUAGCUAGAAUUUUUGAGAUAUAGUUGAUUAAUUGAGAUUUGAUAUUAGUAAUUAAAGGAUAUAUUAGAAAAAAUUAUUUUUUUCUGGUUGGCCCAAUCAGAUUCAAAGUAAACUCAUAUUAAUUUUUCUCAAAUCAGAUCCAAAGCAUCUUGGGGUGAUAUAAAUAUAUGUCAUCAAUUGAUUUAGGUUGAUUGAUUUUGCAAGAGCUUUAUAAAUGUUUGAAAAUUUGUUUGGAGUCGACGAAAGUGAAGAUGGUGGCUGUAAGACUUAGGUGAUUGAGAGAUUUGUUUAUAUUGAUGGACAAGAAAGAAAACAAACAAAUAAUUAAAAAUGCAUAUAUUUGUUGAAAAAAGAUAUUCCAUCUGUUUCACAAAAAAUGAUUUGGUUUGACUUGACAUGAAGUUUAAGUAAAUAAAGAAGACUUUUGAAUCUUGUGGUCGUAAAUCAAAGUUAUGUCAAAUGUACAAAAUUAUCUUUUAAUUUUAUGGUCUUAAAUAUGGCACGUGGAAAGCUAAAGUUAAAAUGUUAGAGGUCAUUCUUUUGGAAAUAAACUAAAAUGGAAAGAAUGUCACUCUUUUUUAAAUAAAAAAGAGUUUAACUACUAUCCACCGACGGUGGACAAAAAAUUACACGGGCAUAUUAUUUUUGGAAAUAUUUAAUUUUUUAAUUAAUAUAUUUUAAUAUUAUAAUAUUAAAAUAAAAAUAAUAACAGAGUGUUAUAUGGUAACUUGAAUUAUAAAUUAAUUGUACAAAUUUAAUUAGGAUUCUUAUUUGUCUUACCAAAACAAAAAAUACAUAAUUUCUUGUGUUUUCUUAUUGGAAAGCACUUCAAUCCUUCAAAGAAAAUCAUUGCCAACAUAUUUUUUUUUAUAAGAACCGGUACUUGUUGCCAUUGAAGCAAUGCUAGCAAAAUAUUAAUAAGAAACUAUUCCAGAAACAUAAAGUGCAACAAAAUCAACAUAUUCAAACUUAUAAGAGUAAGCAAAACAAAAUCAAACACUAUUAAAUACGGCCCAUGAUUUAAUCACAAUUGCAUGCUUGGUUACAUUUUUUUAAACGAAAUCCUUCUUUUGAACAAACAAACUCUUGACCAAUAAUGGAUUUAUCUUUUCUUGAUCUACUAAUUCGAUUUUUGCGCACACUAAAACCAUUACGAUGAGCAUAAUCAAGAUAAAAUUUAAAUCUAGUAUCAAGUGAUUGAAAUUCCAUACCGAUGUAAGACUCUCUUAAUUCUUGCUCACCUAGUUGAGGAACAAAAGAUACAACUGCAUUCAUGUUGCUUUCUAUAUCCUCCAAGGAAUCUUCAAUUCCUUCUGCAUUUUGCUCUUCUAAAUUAGAGAUUUCAAAAGUUUCCUGCAAUACACAAUUAUUAGAUAUUAGACUAAUAGGGUAAGUUAGCUUUAAAAUUUUAAAUAUUUUUCAUGGCUAAUGUAUUGAACUUCUUCAAUUUGCUAAAAAGUUCUUAAACGUAUUCUUUAAAUAUCUUCAUCACUACAAAACAUAAAUUUCUUCAUACAUUAAAACAAGAAUAUUUCUUUGAAACGUUUAUUCAUGUUGCGAAAAAGAUUUAAUAAGUUAUGUAAAAAAAGAUAUACGAGGAAAACGCUACCAUGAUAAUUGUUUCAAAUUGCUUCAAUGGUGGAUAGUUGGUUGCUUCAAUGGUUUAUGUAGAAAAAGAAGAACGUUAAUCCAACUAAGAAAACACAAGAAAUUAUGUAUUUUUUAUUUUUGGUAAGACAAAUAAGAAUCCUAAUUAAAUUUGUACAAUUAAUUUAUAAUUCAAGUUACCAUAUAACACUAUGUUAUUAUUUUUAUUUUAAUAUUAAUAAUAUUAAAAUAUAUUAAUUAAAAAAAUUAAAUAUUUCCAAAAAUAAAAUGUCCGUGUAAUUUUUUGUCCACCGUCGGUGGAUAGCAGUUAAACUCUAAAGAUCAAAUAAAGUUUUAAUAACAGAUUUUGGUGCUCACUCUCCAGAGAGAGUCAAAUACAUUUAGGGAACUAAUUAUUUCAAUUUUGAAUAGUACAAGGGAUGAUUAGACCCCCGUGAAAUUUAAUUGUAUAGCGUUGAGGGCAUUUAAUCAUUUUCUCUUUGAAACAGAGAAUAUAUAUCAUUACGGAUCUAAUCUCCAAAAGAUGAAGAGUGAGUAAACCCUGAAUAAUUUGCGACAUUUAAUACGUUGUUUACUUUAAUUAAUGGACUUAUAAUAAUAAGUUGGAAAGGACCGAAAAAGUUUAAUAUAUAUUGCAUGGUGAAUUUGUACCUUCAUGAAUUUAUUUAAAAGUAUACUUUUUAUAGGCAUUUGUGAUGGUGAUGAUGUUAUAAGUAUAUUUCUCAAUAAUUAGCAUUAUACGUGUAAGAAGUGGUUAGAAAAAGGAGGUACCUAGAUGAAUGAGCACACAAUAGCGUAUACUAUAUUACUCGAAUUUGAUAUAUAUGUGUAAUGCAUAUUAAAAGAACCCUAGUAAAAGUAGACCAAAAAUAUUGAAUAGACGAGAGAGUACAUAUACCAAAUAAGAUAGAUGUGUAUUAUCAAAGAUUAGAUUAAUACAACAUAGCCAAUCGUGAAAUUUCGAUACAAGACUCGACUACACACGAUUUUAAAAGAAACACAGGAAAACAGAAAGUAACAACUGAUAUAAUAUAAUCAAUCGUCAAAUUUCGAAACAAGACUCGAGUACAUACGAUUUUAAACGAAACACAGAAAAAAGAGAAAGUGACAACUGAUACAACAUAGAAAGAAAGGAUCCAUAAGCAAGAUCAAUGCUAUCUAUCUUAUUCUUAAUUCUCCUCAUGAAACCAAAUUCUGAUGAUCAGCUUUACUGAACUCUGCAUUGAUAAUGAACAAAACCAACAUUAAUAAUAAUAAUGAUGAUAACAAAAACAUAAUGUACUAACUAUAAUAGUAUUUUUUUUAUUAUAUAAUUACAUAUAUAAAUAUUUUGAAACUAAUAUUUCUUAACAGUAAAAUAUAAAUAAAAAAUGCACUUAUUUUUUGAGAAAACCAAACACACUUGUAGGUGCUAGCACAUAUCAUUUUUUUGUUACUUUAUUUUUCAUACUACGAAGAGUUAGGUGUUGUUAUAGGUAAAAAAAGAUGAAAAAUUUAACAUACUUAGAGCAGUCAGUAGAGGGGCUGAUCUUGUAAGGGAUGUUGACACUACAAGUGUUAGGGAGAGCAGCAGCUUUGCCCAAAUUGAGUCCUGUAAAAGAAGAAGCAGCUGAUUUUAGGCAAGUGCAUGCGGCCUGUCGGUCUACUGUAGUCUUGGCUUGACCCAAAAGACCCUUAACACCAUCACAACAGUUUCUGAGAGGACCGCGGUUCAUUAGAUAAGGGAGACAAGGAGCCAAGGUAGAUGUAACUUGACCACAAGUUAAAGCCUCUGCAUGGGGUGCAACCACUACCAUGCAUAAAAGCACAAAGCAUGCAAUCUUGUUAACCAUUUCCAUUCUUAAUGAUUUAUGAAAAUUAGAAUAGUAAUUAUGAGGUUUAUGAGGAAGUAGUGGAUGAGAAGAAAUGUGUUUUGGUUGAGUGUUUUUAUAGAGGGAAAUUUGGAGUAGAUGGCCAAUGGAGGAGUGAGAGAGGUAGUUGGUUGUUAGGUUGAAAAUUUAAAGCAUUUUUAUGGUUGUACAUUAUUUUGCUGGCUCUAAAGUCAUGUGGUAGCUAGUUCUAACAUCUUACGUGUAGGAGUUUUUUUUUCUCACCAAAGUUCCCAUAAAUAGAUUCCUCGAUCAAUGUAGGACUUUUACCUACUUUAAUAUCCCUUUUUUUACGUAGAUCCAAUUGAGAUGUGGAUCGAAAAUUCAAACAGGAAUGAAUAUAACUCUAAUAUCAUGUUAAGAUAUGUUUUUAGAUCUAAUUUAAUAAUAAAUGCUAGCUUAUGAGAGGAGUAUUGUCCACAUCCUUAUAAGUAAAUCAUCAGUUUAUUUCCUGAUUAACGUGAGACUUUUACCUACUCUAACAGUUUGAUCGAAGAUUUUUUUUAAAAAAAAAUUAUGAAGUUAUAGAGUUAAAGAUGAAAUUGUAUUGGAUAAUACUUUUACGAAAGAAUAAAAAUGAUGUGAUUAUAGCUUUAAAAAUAAAAAAAAUAAUUAAGAUUUUAAAUACAACUUCAAGUUAAAUAUUUUACGACCAUAAAUUUAAAUUUGGGAAGUGACGAAGUUUAUUUUACUUCUGGCGUUCUUAGCUGGAUUACAACAACGUUUAAUUAAUCAAGGUCUUCAUUAGUGUUUAGACACUUAACCACCCAAGUCUUUAAUGCUUUUUCUACUUACCAGCUUUAUCUCUUAAAAAUUGAUACAAAAUGACUACGUAUUAUAUUUUAUAAAGUUGAAAAUGUGUUCCAUUUUCUUUUUCAAAAUUAUCCUUAACACGUUCCUUAUUAAAUGUAUACAUUUAGAAAUAAUCAUAUCAAUACACGAUCAAUAGUUAUAACGUAUACUUGUUUCUUAGUAUUUCUUAACCCUUUAAUCACCAAAGAUGACGGUGGUUUUAUAAAUAGGCAUUUCAUUAAUAUAGAUUUUGAGUUUAAAUCAUAUUAAUUAUAAAGUCAUAUUAGUCAUUUUUUUAUGGUACCAACACUACAAUUAAUUACCGCUACAAUAUGCAUUUUUAGCGGGAAUUUAACACUCUUUAUAUAUGUUUCUAAAGUCUUUAGCGACAUUGAUUUUAACGACAUUUAACUAAUGCAGGUAAAGACUUUAACACUCUUUGUUAAUGUCAGCAUUUAUUACCGUCAAAAGCUGUUUUUGUGGUAGUGCAAUUUAGGAUAAAAAGUCUUACAUCGAUCAAAUACAUGAAAGAUACUUUUCGUUUUUUAAGAGUCAAACAAUUUAAGUUUGACUAGUAAUUUACACACGGAAUUUUCUUUUUAUUGAAAUGAAAUGUAUAUAUAUACUUAUAAACUACGUAAAAGUAUUAUAAGUCAUAAUUCAAAAUAUUUUUAAAAUGUAUAAAAAAUUUACGAUUAAAAUAGAUUUGUUUGAAUCUCGAUAUUCAAAAAGUGUCACAUAAAAUGAGACGAAUGGAAUAUAUAUAUAAUACGUUAGUGAUGCGUUAUAAAAUUAUAUGGGCUUAAAUCUAAAAUGGACAAUAUUACUAAUGACUUGAACCUUUAAAAAUGAUAUCUGUUCAACUCAUGUGUCAUCUUUAUUGAUAUAUAUGGACCAAAGCUCUACAUAUAGGCAAAAUCUCAUGUGGUGGAGUAAACCACUGCGUCUAUAUAAGAGGAGGUGCAUGUGAAACCCCAGAUAAAAAGUGUAACAUCAACAAAAUCAAUUGAUGAAAACAUAAAUUAUAUAAAUAAGCAAAUUUUACAUUUUAAUGACAUAUUUUAAAAUCGCGCAGACCUAGAUUUAACUAGAUUCAGGUAGGAAAAAAGAAACAGAACCUGACACUUUGACGUUUCUUAUAUGUUGCACAAAGUGUUGAUUGCUAAUUGGACCACGAAUUCAGCUAUAUUAUUACAUGCUUUCUCUUGGUCCAUGUAGUAUAAAUUUGUGUCGGUCCCAAUAUUAAUUUGGUAGAAGUUGAGUAAAGAUUUGAGCCACCCAAACUCAUUAAUUAGGCCAAACAAGAGGAAAUUUCUUUGAGACAUAUAGUCUUACCUAGAGGCCUAUAAUUUGGUGUAUAAUGUGGGGAUAUGUUUCACAUGUAUGAGUAUUAUAAAGUUUAUAUAAGUUUUAUAUAAAUGAUUUUCUUUAAGAUAAUAAAAUAAUAUUUACUGACCUUUCCAGAUUGGAUUAUUUUUUGACCUAUAAUUUUAGGUUGAUUUUCUCUGAGUUGUUUCAUAUAUCAAUUUUGACUAUUUGUUUAAAUAGUGUAUUAAUAAUACGAGGUUGUGUAUUGAUUGGUGUGGUUCGAUUUGAGAAUUUAUCAGUUUUAUUUAUUGAUUAUUGGUUUGUAAUCAUAUUUUAACCGUUAUUGAACAGUUAAAAUAUUAAUUUAUCGAUUAUUGGAUUAUUAGUUAGUGAUCGCUAUCGAUUUGAUUAUUGGAUUAACAGUUCAAACAAUUCCCAUUGAGAAUUACUAAUGGACUAAUCACUCAUUACAAUACGCAGUAGUCAGUAGUCACUAUGAACUUUCCCCGGUUAGUCUAUCUACAUAAAAUACUUAAUGAAACUCCAUAUUAAUUCAAAUAGAGAUGUCAAUAUUGCCCAAACUAGCAAAUUCAAAAGGAUUUCUCAUAACAACCAAGCCAAUUUUGAUAUGAACUAUAAAGAGAAACCAUUACGACACUGCUAACAAAAAUCAUUAAUGAUCAUGAGACUUACUAAUAAAAGCUUUUUCGUUUGCAAAUUCUAGCAUAGGGCGAUAUACAGACAUAUCUCAUUGACUCACUCACUGUAACUAGAAGAUAAAAACAAACACUUAAAGUAAGGGAACCAACCAUCUUAACCUCAAUUUUAGACACUUAGAAAAUGCUAUUCAGUAUAACUUUUUGGCGUGGGAGCAGUGACAGUGAAUUAAUGAGUGAUGUCGCAACUCUAAAAAUUCCUAAGGCCUUAAGUGAUAUAAAUGUAAGAUACUAAACUUGUUAUUAGGUUAUCACGACACUCAAUUAGAAAUAUGGCUAAACCGAAAUCCAAAUCGGUAAGACGAUGAAAAGUUUAUAAUAAAUUGAGAUUCGAACCGUUAAAUUAUUAAUCUGAAUCUUUGACCCAAUAAUAAAAUAUCAAUCUCGAUUUGAUUUGAUCAGCUCUAUGGUGAUAUUUCAAAUAAAAAUCAUGAAGUUAAAUUAAAAAUUGUUGUUUUUUAAGUUGCCACCUAAUGCAUGGAAGAACUUGAUUAAAAAAGUGUCACGACCCAAAUCCGGGCCGCGACUGGCACCACACUUACCCUCCUAUGUGAGCGAACCAACCAAUCUAACCUUAACAUUUCAAUAUAAUAUCAACAGAAAGUAAUGCGGAAGACUUAAACUCAUUAAAUAAAGACCAAUUCAUUAACUUCUAAAAUUCAACAUCUAUUAUUCCCCAAAAUCUGGAAGUCAUCAUCACAAGAACAUCUACGAUCAAACGACUAAACUAAGAGUAUUCUAAAAGCUAAAAAUACAUAAGAAGCUAGUCCAUGCAGGAAGUUCAAGGCAUCAAGACUUGAAGAAGAAGAUCCAGUCCAAGCUAGAAGCAUUAGCUCACCCUGAAUUUCCGAUGUAGCAAGACUGACUUGAAUUACUGUUGAGUUGAAGACGAUGGCACGUUUGCUGCACUCCACAAAUAAACAAGAAGAGAACAUAAAAGUAGGGGUCAGUACAAAACACGGGUACUGAGUAGAUAUCAUCGGCCAACUCAAAAUAGAAAUCAAUAUAUACCAAGUAAUAUCAUAAAAUCAACUAUGAUACUCAACAUGUAGCAACAACAAAUACUAUAUCGUUAACAAUUACCGUCAAGUUCACACAUGAGGACUCAAGCCUCGAUACCAUACUCAUUUGGGAAUCAUGUUCAUUAGAUUGAGUAUAUUAACAUCUUUCAAGAUUCAUUAUCUUUAUUUCUCUUGUGUCGGUACGUGACACUCCGCUCCCUCAAUAUUCAUUAAUCCUCUUGUGUCGGUACGUGACACUCCGAUCCCCUAAAUCUAUGUGUCGGUUCGUGACACCCGAUCCCCUAAAUCUAUGUGUCGGUUCGUGACACCCGAUCCCCUAAAUCUACGUGUCGGUUCGUGACACCCGAUCCCCUAAUACUACGUGUCGGUUCAUGACACCCGAUCCCCUAAAUCUAUGUGUCGGUUCGUGACACCCGAUCCCCUAAUUCUACGUGUCGGUUCGUGACACCCGAUCCCCUAAUACUACGUGUCGGUUCGUGACACCCGAUCCCCUAAUUCUACGUGUCAGUUCGUGACACCCGAUCCCCUAAUUCUACGUGUCGGUUCGUGACACCCGAUCCCCUAAUCUCCUUCCAUCAAUUCAUCAAGCCUUCUUUCUUACCAAGGCAUCAUCAAUCUCAUUACUUUAGUUCAUCAAGCCUUCUCCCUUACCAAGGCAUCAUCAUUAAAAAGAGAUUAGGUUUUUUUCAAGAUUUGGGAUUCAAUAACUUCAUCAUGCUUAAUAUAAUCACAAUUAUAUAAUCACGUUCAUGCAGGCAUACAAUUAAGCACAUAGCAGGGUUUACAAUACUACCAAUACAUAUCAUUCUCUAUUAAGAUUUUACUAUGAAAGCAUGAAAACCAUAACCUACCUCCACCGAAGAUUAGAAAUCAAGCAAGCAAAUUCCCAAAGCUUUGUGUCCUCUUCGUCUCUCCUCUUUCUCGUUCAACUUUCUCUCUCUUUCUCUUGUUCUUUCUAUUUUCUUUAUUCAAACCCUCUUUCUUUUACCCUAAUUAGUAUAUGAUUAAGGAUAAAAGAUGGCAAUAAUGCCCCACUAAUUAACUUAAGGUUACCUCUUUUAACCCCCAAGUAAUUAGACUUAUUAACAUUAACCCACUAACUUUAUAAUUAAGGCAAGAAUAGUCAAAAACGUCCCUUAAAACGUAUCAAGAAAUCCGACCCGGACUGGGAUUGCGCAACCUGUGACGGGCCAUCGUGCCUGCGACGGUCCGUCCUGCAGCUCGUCGCAAAGUUCAGAGACCCAAAUUUCCACCAAGGGCCUGUGACGGUCCGUCACACCUGUGACGGUCCGUCACACCUGUGACGGUCCGUCCUGGCAUUUCGUUACAAAGUUCAGAGAGUCAAUUUCAGCACCCAAAUUUCAGAAUUUCUAAGUGUUUUGGGACGAGACACCCUCGACGGUCCGUCGUGCCCAUGACGUUCCGUCGUGGGUUCCGUCGUCUCAGCCUGUUUUUCCAGAAAUAAAAUCUGCUGCUCAAAACGACUAAACAGGUCAUUACAAUAGAUACCAAUUUACCCAUCGUUCGUCCCCAAACGAUCACAAGAAGGAAAAACAAGAACGAAAAGGAGUACCUGAAUCUGUAAACAGAUGUGGGUAUCUUUCUUGCAUAUCUGCCUCCUUCUCCCAAGUGGCUUCUUCAACCGGUCGAUUCUUCCAUUGCACCUUGAUGGAUGCAAUCUCUCUUGACCUCAACUUGCGAACUUCUCUAUCUAAAAUAGCAACAGGCUCCUCCUCAUAAGACAAGUUCUCAUCAAGCAAAACUGAAUUCCAACGGAUAAUGUAAUUUCCAUCCCCAUGAUAUCUUUUCAACAUAGACACAUGGAAUACCGGAUGCACUCCGGACAGCCCUGGAGGCAAGGCUAACUCAUAAGCCACCUCCCCUACUCGCUUAAGUACUUCAAAUGGACCAAUAUACCUUGGGCUAAGUUUACCUCGCUUACCAAAUCGCAUCACCCCUUUCAUUGGUGAAACCUUCAACAAGACUUGUUCACCUUCCAUGAACUCUAAGUCUCUAACCUUUCGAUCUGCAUAUUCUUUUUGUCUACUUUGCGCCGCUAGAAGCUUUUCUUGAAUAGACUUCACUUUCUCUAUCGAAUCCCUCAAAAGGUCAGUGCCCCAAGGUCUAACCUCGAAUGCAUCAAACCAACCAAUGGGAGACCUACAUCUCCUCCCAUACAAUGCUUCAAAUGGGGCCAUAUCAAUACUUGAGUGAUAGCUAUUAUUGUAUGAAAACUCCGCUAAGGGUAGGAAACUAUCCCAAUGGCCACCAAACUCUAUCACACAUGCACGAAGCAUAUCCUCCAACACUUGAAUCGUCCUUUCAGACUGACCAUCGGUCUGAGGAUGGAACGCAGUACUAAGGUCCAACCUAGUACCCAAUUCCGCAUGCAAUGUUUUCCAAAACUUAGAAGUAAACUGCGUACCUCUAUCUGAUAUGAUGGAUAGUGGAACCCCAUGCAAUCGAACGAUUUCUGAGAUAUAGAUCUUGGCUAACUUCUCUGCAUUGUAAGUCACCUUUACCGGAAUGAAAUGAGCAGAUUUAGUUAACCUAUCAACAAUCACCCAAAUGGAGUCAUACUUACCCAUUGUCCUUGGAAGACCAACCACAAAGUCCAUUGCAAUUCUUUCCCACUUCCAUUUCGGAAUGGGCAUUCUCUGAAGUGUUCCUCCGGGCCUUUGGUGUUCAUACUUUACUUGUUGACAGUUUGGACACUUGGCAAUAAAGUCAACAAUAUCACGCUUCAUUCUACUCCACCAAAAGUGUUGUUUUAGGUCACGAUACAUCUUGGUUGCACCCGGAUGUAUAGAAUACCUUGAACUAUGAGCCUCUGUCAAAAUAGUGUUGAUCAAAUCAUCGACGCGGGGUACACAUACCCUUCCCUUGAUUCUCAAAACACCUUCCUCAUCGAUUUGUGCUUCCUUAGCCUCCCCUCGCAAUACUUUAUCUUGGAUUCGCCUUAGUUUCUCAUCAUCAAACUGUUUUCCCUUAAUUUUGUCAAGAAAAGAAGAUCUUGACUCCACACUAGCCAACAAUCUUCCCUUCUCAUUUACUUCUAAUCUCAUCAAGUCAUUAGCUAGAGUCUGAACCUCUCUAGCCAAUGGGCGUCUAGAAGCUUGCAAGUGAGCUAGACUUCCCAUGCUUCCCACCUUUCUACUUAAAGCAUCCGCUACAACAUUCGCCUUCCCCGGAUGAUACAAAAUAGUGAUGUCGUAGUCCUUCAGUAGUUCCAUCCAUCUCCUCUGUCUAAAGUUCAAAUCUUUCUGAGUAAAGACAUACUGUAGGCUACGAUGAUCCGUAUAGAUCUCACACUUAACCCCAUAUAAAUAGUGUCUCCAUUGCUUUAAUGCAAACACCACCGCAGCCAAUUCCAAAUCGUGGUUCGGAUAGUUACGUUCAUGCACCUUUAGUUGCCUUGAAGCAUAAGCAAUCACACUCUUCUCUUGCAUUAGUACUGCACCCAAACCAGAAUAGGAUGCAUCACAAUAAACAAUGAAGUUCUUACCCUCUACUGGCAAGGUAAGGAUAGGUGCGGUAGUCAACAAAGUCUUGAGCUUCUGAAAGCUUUCCUCACAUUCGUCCGACCAUACAAAUGGAACAUUCUGCUUAGUCAAGUUCAUCAAUUGGGAAGCAAUAGAAGAGAAUCCCUUGACAAAUCGGUAGUAGUAGCUAGCUAACCCAACAAAGCUCCUUAUUUCUAACACAUUAGUAGGUCUUACCCAAUUUUUCACUGUCUCAAUCUUAGAAGGAUCCACCAUCACUCCAUCCUUAGAAACCACGUGCCCCAAGAAGGACACUGCAUCUAGCCAAAACUCACACUUAGAGAACUUGGCAUAAAGCUUUUUCUCCCUCAACAUUUCCAAUACCAUUCUCAAAUGCUCUUCAUGUUCCUUCUUGCUCUUUGAGUAUACCAAUAUAUCAUCAAUAAAUACGAUCACGAAGAGGUCCAAAUAUGGCUUAAAAAUCCCGUUCAUCAAGCUCAUGAACGCAGCAGGGGCAUUCGUAAGACCAAAAGACAUCACUACAAAUUCGUAAUGCCCAUACCUCGUUCGAAAAGCAGUCUUUGGCACAUCCAUUGCCCGUAUUUUCAAUUGAUGAUAACCGGAUCUAAAGUCAAUCUUAGAGAAGACACAAGCACCUUGUAACUGAUCGAACAAGUCAUCAAUGCGGGGAAGAGGAUACUUGUUCUUUGUAGUUAACUUGUUUAGUUGUCUAUAGUCUAUACACAUUCGAAAACUCCCAUCCUUCUUCUUUACAAACAAAACUGGAGCACCCCAAGGAGAUGCACUUGGUCUAAUAAAGCCUUUGUUUAACAACUAUUGAAGUUGGGCUUUUAACUCUCUUAACUCCGCGGGAGCCAUUCUAUAAGGGGGUAUCGAAAUGGGGCGAGUACCCGGUUCAAGGUCAAUACAAAAAUCAAUAUCCCUAUCUGGUGGCAUACCAGGAAGAUCUGCAGGGAACACAUCCAGAAACUCACGGACCACCGAAACCGACUCAAUCGAGGGUACUUGGGUAGUGUCAUCCUUGAGAUGUGCCAAGAAAGCUAAACACCCUUUACUAACCAUUUUCUUAGCACGAAGAAAGGAGAUGAUACGCACCGGAUUGGAAGUGUAGUCACCCUCCCACACUAACGGAUCUGUCCCAGGCUUGGCUAACGUCACCGUUUUAGCAUUACAAUCCAAAAUCGCAAAUUGCGGAGAAAGCCAAGUCAUACCCAGAAUUACAUCAAAAUCGUCCAUUUCUAAGAUAACCAAAUCUACAUAAGUGUUUCUCCCCACAAAGUUCACCAAACAAGACCUAUACACCUUUUCAACUACCACAGACUCACCCACCGGAGUAGAAACACGAAUAGGCAUAUCAAGUAAUUCACAAUGUAAAUUUAGACCAUUAGCAAAUGAGGAAGAUACAUAAGAAAAUGUGGAUCCAGGAUCAAACAAUACAAAAGCCAUGCAAUCACAAACCAGAAGAUUACCUGUGAGAUGCCUCCGCUUCAGACCGCCCAGGGAAAGCGUAACAAUGGGCCCUAUCGUUCAUCUGUCCAUUGCCCCUACCAUGUUGUGAUGUAGUGGCUCCAGUUUGCCCAUCACCUCGACCAUUUUGGUGACCACCAUUACCUCGACCACCACGUAUCCAGAAUGACGGCCUCUACCAUGACCACCUCUACCUCUAGCCAUUGGGGGUCUAUAACUCUGUUUUGGACAAUUCCUCCUAAUAUGUCCAGUCUCCCCACAUCCAUAACACUCUCUGGAGUCAAGCAUAGGUCUUUCAGAGAAGUGUUGACCGGUCUGAGGUGGACCCCCAACUACAGUCUGUAGUGAAGACUGAAUGGGUCGAACUGAGUAACCUCCAGAACCUUGUCCUCUAGAGUAAGAACCAUUAAACUCGCCUCCCUUUCGAAACCUUUUUGAUGUCGAUGUCGUGGUGAAGUCAUCUGGCUUCACUCCUUCCACCUCUAUCACGAAGUCUACCACCUCUUGGAAGGAUUUUGCCGUAGCCGCUACCUGUAAGGCUGAAAUCCGCAACUCUGACCUCAACCCCUUCACAAAACGGCGAAUCCGCUCUUGUGGACUGAAACAUAGUUGGGUGGCAUACCGGGAUAAAGCACGAAACUUAGCCUCAUAUGCAUUGACCGACAUCCUACCUUGCUCUAGGCUCAAGAACUCAUCCCUUUUCCUAUCCCUCAAAGUCUAGGGGAUAUACUUCUCCAUAAACAAGCUAGAGAAUGAGGCCCAAGUCAUAGGUGGUGCCUCCAUUGGUUGACACUCAAUAUGUGACCGCCACCACAUUUUGGCAUUCCCUUGAAACUGAUAACUCACGAACUCAACACCAAACCGUUCUACUAUACCCAUCUUGUGUAGUAGCUCAUGACAGUCAACCAGAAAAUCGUAAGCAUCCUCAGAUUCAGCACCCUUGAAGACUGGAGGUUUCAAUUUCAAGAACUUACUGAAAAGUUCAUGCUGAUCAUUUGUCAUUAUAGGCCCAGUAGUCAGACGUGGAAAUGUGCCUAUGUCCAAUGAGGCAUCCAUACGAGGAGCCAUAGUGGCUGCAUGUUGCACUUCUGAAACCGGAGGUGUUGGCGCAGAAAACACUGGAGGUGCCAGACCUUGAUCAGACAACCCACUGUGAUAGGUGAGAACCUGAUUGAUCAUCUCUGGGGUAGGUUGGGGUGGCAAUCCCUCAUUCUGCACUUGUUCAGUUUCCCCAUCCUCCCCUUCUCUUAUUACUUCCUCAGUCAAUGGAGGAGUCACUGCCCUAGUAUCAGAUGGGCUAGGUGCUCGUCCUCUUCCCCUAGAGGACGUCCUCCCACGACCUCUACCACGAUCUCUUGCCGCUGCUCUUCCUCGAGCAACAGCCCCAGUGGCUUGCUCAGACGCACCCUGUCCCGCCGGUGCUAGUGUUGGUGCUGGCGUAGUCGUUGCUCUAGUUCUAACCAUCUGUGAAAGAGAGUGAAGAUGGUCAGAUACCAAUUUGUAUCACCUAGAUACCAAUUGGAUUCAAGUAGUAGCACGAAAGAAAGAAUGAAAUAAUGGAAUUUUCCUAAAGUCUUAUAGCCUCUCAAAGAAAAGUAAAGGCGUCCCCCUACCGUUCCUUAAGACUCUACUAGAAUCGUUCUUGUGUGAUGAGACCAACGAACCUAAUGCUCUGAUACCAAGUUUGUCACGACCCAAAUCCGGGCCGCGACUAGCACCCACACUUACUCUCCUAUGUGAGUGAACCAACCAAUCUAACCUUAACAUUUCAAUAUAAUAUCAACAGAAAGUAAUGCGGAAGACUUAAACUCAUUAAAUAAAGACCAAUUCAUUAACUUCUAAAAUUCAACAUCUAUUAUUCCCCAAAAUCUGGAAGUCAUCAUCACAAGAACAUCUACGAUCAAACGACUAAACUAAGAGUAUUCUAAAAGCUAAAAAUACAUAAGAAGUUAGUCCAUGCCGGAAGUUCAAGGCAUCAAAACUUGAAGAAGAAGAUCCAGUCCAAGCUAGAAGCAUUAGCUCACCCUGAAUUUCCGAUGUAGCAAGACUUGCUUGAAUUACUGUUGAGUUGAAGACGAUGGCACGUUUGCUGCACUCCACAAAUAAACAAGAAGAGAACAUAAAAGUAGGGAUCAGUACAAAACACGGGUACUGAGUAGAUAUCAUCGGCCAACUCAAAAUAGAAAUCAAUAUAUACCAAGUAAUAUCAUAAAAUCAACUAUGAUACUCAACAUGUAGCAACAACAAAUACUAUAUCGUUAACAAUUACCGUCAAGUUCACACAUGAGGACUCAAGCCUCGAUACCAUACUCAUAUGGGAAUCAUGUUCAUUAGAUUGAGUAUAUUAACAUCUUUCAAGAUUCAUUAUCUUUAUUUCUCUUGUGUCGGUACGUGACACUCCGCUCCCUCAAUAUUCAUUAAUCCUCUUGUGUCGGUACGUGACACUCCGAUCCCCUAAAUCUAUGCGUCGGUUCGUGACACCCGAUCCCCUAAAUCUAUGUGUCGGUUUGUGACACCCGAUCCCCUAAAUCUACGUGUCGGUUCGUGACACCCGAUCCCCUAAUACUACGUAUCGGUUCGUGACACCCGAUCCCCUAAAUCUAUGUGUCGGUUCGUGACACCCGAUCCCCUAAUUCUACGUGUCGGUUCGUGACACCCGAUCCCCUAAUACUACGUGUCAAUUCGUGACACCCGAUCCCCUAAUUCUACGUGUCGGUUUGUGACACCCGAUCCCCUAAUUCUACGUGUCGGGUCGUGACACCCGAUCCCCUAAUCUCCUUCCAUCAAUUCAUCAAGCCUUCUUUCUUACUAAGGCAUCAUCAAUCUCAUUACUUUAGUUCAUCAAGCCUUCUCCCUUACCAAGGCAUCAUCAUUAAAAAGAGAUUAGGUUUUUAUCAAGAUUUGGGAUUCAAUAACUUCAUCAUGCUUAAUAUAAUCACGUUCAUGCAGGCAUACAAUUAAGCACAUAGCAGGGUUUACAAUACUACCAAUACAUAUCAUUCUCUAUUAAGAGUUUACUAUGAAAGCAUGAAAACCAUAACCUACCUCCACCGAAGAUUAGAAAUCAAGCAAGCAAAUUCCCAAAGCUUUGUGUCCUCUUCGUCUCUCCUCUUUCUCGUUCAACUUUCUCUCUCUUUCUCUUGUUCUUUCUAUUUUCUUUAUUCAAACCCUCUUUCUUUUACCCUAACUAGUAUAUGAUUAAGGAUAAAAGAUGGCAAUAAUGCCCCACUAAUUAACUUAAGGUUACCUCUUUUAACCCCCAAGUAAUUAGACUUAUUAACAUUAACCCACUAACUUUAUAAUUAAGGCAAGAAUAGUCAAAAAUGUCCCUUAAAACGUAUCAAGAAAUCCGACCCGGACUGGGAUUGCGCAACCUGUGACGGGCCGUCGUGCCUGCGACGGUCCGUCCUGCAGGUCGUCGCAAAGUUAAGAGACCCAAAUUUCCACCAAGGGCCUGUGACGGUCCGUCCUGGCAUUUCGUUACAUAGUUCAGAGAGUCGAUUUCAGCACCCAAAUUUCAGAAUUUCUAAGUGUUUUGGGACGAGACACCCUCGACGGUCCGUCGUGCCCAUGACGUUCCGUCGUGGGUUCCGUCGUCUCAGCCUGUUUUUCCAGAAAUAAAAUCUGCUGCUCAAAACGACUAAACAGGUCGUUACAAAAAGAUCGAACACAGAGAAUUUUAUCACUUUCUUGCUCAAAAAAUAAAAUAAAAUAAAAUAAAUCAUGUACUGUCUAUAGAACUUGCUUCAAAUCUACACAAACUCUAAAAUCUUAACUUUCCUUGUUAAAACUGGCACUGUUAAACUUUAUUGUAUUCUUGAAAACUUUUACAACUCAAUCAACAAACGUUUACCACAAGACUUGUUGCAUAGUAAUUACUUUUUAUUGAAACAUGUAUUUUACUAAAAAAAAUUAUAAAAUUUUGUAAGAAAAAAGUUAUUUGAAUCAGUUUUUCAAAUUAAAAUUGAAAAACUCAGCUUUGAAUUGAAAUGAAAAUUUAACGACAAUAUAUAAAAUCUAAGUACGUGGAUUUUUUACUUUUGAUGUCAUAUUUGCGUCGAAUUCUUCAAAAAUAUACUAUUUUUAGAGAAUCUAAUCAACAACAACUGAUAUUUUCAAAAGUUCGAGCAACAUAAAUAUGUACUAACAAUUUUAUUUCUAAAUGUAAAAAAUAAUUUGUAUGCCCAAUUUGUUGGGAAAAAAUUCGUAACAGAAAUAAUAUUUGCGGUAAUAAAGCCAAGAAAUGCGGAACACAACAAUACGGUUAAUGAACGAGAAUAAAAGAGAAAUAAUGACACCAAGAUUUUACGUGGAAACCUCCUAAAUGAGGGAAAAACCAUGACCCGAGAGGAGCAACGAAUAUCACUAUAAUAAGGAUUUUACACUUGUAUGUCUGAGUAAAACUCCAAAGACCACUACACAUUCAAAAGAAAUAACACUCUUUUGAUUUUUCCACCUCACUACAAUAUCGCUCAGACUCUCUAUUUUUCCUCUGUGAUGCCUCACUCUUCUUUCUCUCCUUUGUAAUUCUUUUUGGUGCAUUUUUGAAAUGAGCAAGGGCUCUGUAUUUAUUGGAAAAUCUAGUCCUAAUGAUGUCACCAGUGAUAUCACAAAAAACACAAGAUUUCAACCUUUUCACCUAUGUAGAAAUCUUGCUAAGAUUUUAGUUGAAAAAAGAAAUGGUGAGCUUUGAAUUUUGUUGCAGCAUUUGUUGACUUUAACAAUAAGCAACAAACAAAAUUCAACCAUUUCUGCUAUGUUUAUCUACAAUGGGUAUGGACUCCACAAAUCUCCCCCUCCAUACCCAUUCACUUGAAGGAGGUAGCUCUAGGUUUCUAGCUUGAGUGCAUGCCGACAAGUUCUUCGCAUAACUCAAACUUGUCCCUUGAUACCACCUUGAUCAGCAUAUCUGAAGGGUUUUCACUAGUAGGGAUCUUCAUGACUUGCAUAGAUCCGUCCUCUAUCUUUUCACGAAUCCAGUGAUAUCUCACGUCAAUAUGCUUCGUCCUUGAAUGGUACAUGGUGUUCUUGCUCAAGUCUAUUGCACUCUGACUGUCACAAUAGAUGACAUACUCCUCCUGAUGUAAUCCAAGUUCUUGAAGAAAUCGUUUCAGCCAUACCAUCUUUUUGCCACCUUCAGUAGCUGCAAUAUAUUCUGCCUCAGUUGUAGAGAGUGUGACACACUUCUGCAACUUUGACUGCCAUGAUAUAGCUCCCCCCUGAAAAUAUAAACAAAUAUCCAGUAGUGGAUUUUCUAUUAUCGAGGUCACCUGCCAUAUCAGCAUUAGUAUAGCCCUUCAAGAUUGGAUCAGAUCCUUUAAAACACAAGCAAUCUCUUGUGGUACCUCUUAGAUACCUGAGUAUCCACUUAACUACCUCUCAGUGUUCUUUUCCAGGAUUUUCAAGGAAUCUGCUAACAACACCAACUGUAUGAGCAAUAUCAGGUCUCGUACACACCAUCACAUACAUCAAGCUCCCCACUGCUGAAGAAUAAGGAACUUUAGCUAUUCCCUCUUUCUCCUCUUUUGUUGUAGGACACAUCUGUUUGCUCAACUUCAGAUGACUCGCAAGAGGCGUGCUAACAGGUUUAGCACUCUUCAUGUUGAAGCGUUCUAGUACACGUUCAAUGUACUUCUCUUGAGAUAGCCACAACUUUCUUUUUAUUCGUUCUCGAACAAUAUUCAUCCCUAGAAUUUGUUGUGCUGGGCCCAAGUCUUUCAUGUCAAAUGACUUGGACAAAUCUUUCUUCAACUUUGCAAUCAGCUCUUUGUCUUGUCCUACAAUUAACAUGUCAUCCACAUAUAACAACAAAAUAAUAAAAUUGUUGUCAGAAAAUCUUUUGAAGUAUACACAUGGAUCAGAAUAGGUCUUUGUGUACGUUUGACUUUUCAUGAAAGAGUCAAACUUUUUGUACCAUUGCCUUGGGGUCUGUUUCAACCCAUAAAGACUCUUAUUCAAUUUGCACACCAUGUGUUUCUUUCCAGAUGCUUCAAAUCCCUCUGUUUGCUCCAUAUAAAUCUCUUCUUCCAAAUCUCUGUGAAAAAAUGCAGUUUUCACGUCCAAUUGCUCCACUUCAAGAUCUAGACUAGCUGCUAUGCUCAAAAUAGUUCGAAUAGAAGUCAUUUUGACAACAUGUGAAAAAAUUUCAUCAAAAUCAAUACCUUUCGUUUGUUCAAAGCCUUUUACAACCAAUCGAGCUUUGUACCUCACCAACUUGCCAUUUCCAUCUUUCUUGAGUUUAAAGACCCACUUGCACUUAAGUGGUCUUUUUCCUUUUGGAAGUUCAACUAGCUGGUAUGUGCCAUUUUUCUGUAGAGAUCCCAUCUCUUCGUGCAUGGCUUUCAUCCAUUGGCUCUUUUCUGGAUGAGACAACACCUCCUUAAGACUUUCUGGCUCACCUUCAUCAUUGAUAAGGACAUACUCUGAGGAAGGAUAUUUGGUUGAUUAUACUCUUUGUCUUUCUGAUCUCCUCAGAGGUUGAGAUUGUCUUCUUCUGGGUACUCCAUUUGCUCGGUAUUAUCACCAAGUUGCUCCCCCUGCUCAACAAACUCAUCAGGUUGCUCUUUAUGCUCAGCAACUUCAUCAAUCGUACUUUCUGCACUUAUGGGAUGGUUAGAAGAAGAAGGAAUGGUAAUAAGAUUAGGGACUAUACCAUUCUUUUUCUUGGCCUUCUCGGAUAGAUCAUCAGCAGUUUCAACUUCACUUUCUCGAAAGAUUACAUCUCUACUUCUGAUGACCUUCUUCUUUACAAGAUCCCAUAGUUUGUACCCGAAUUCUUCAUCUCCAUAUCCGAUGAAUAUGCAGGGAACUGAUUUAUCAUCUAGCUUGGUUCUUUGCUCUUUCGGUACAUGUGCAAAAGCUUUGCAACCGAACACCUUUAGGUGCGAGUAAGACACCUCUUUGUUGGUCCAAACUCUCUCUGGAAUGUCAAACUCCAACGGAACUGAUGCAUUACGAUUGAUAAGAUAACACGCUGUCCGAACUACUUACCUCAAAAUGUCUUGGGUAAUUUAGCCAAUCUGAGCAUGCUUCUCACCUUCUCAACAAUGGUGCGAUUCAUUCUCUCAGCUAUACCAUUGUGUUGUGGGGUUCUAGGAACUGUCUUUUCAUGUCUGACUCCAUGGUUUGAACAAUACUCUUCAAAUUCUCUUGAAGUGUACUCACCUCCAUUGUCGGUUCGGAGACGUUCUAGCUUUCGACCUGUCUCUCUUUCUAUCAGAGCAUGAAACUUUUGAAAUACUGGAAACACCUGAUCUUUGGUUAUCAAGAUAUAAACCCACAAUUUUCGAGAAGCGUCAUCAAUAAAGGUAACAAAGUAUUUAUUACCUCCUAUCAAUUCUAUCUCCAUUGGACCACAAACAUCAAAAUAUACCAAAUCAAAUAUAUUCGACUUUCUUUCAGAUGAUGUCUUAAAUGAGACUCUAUGUUGUUUACCAAAUAAGCAGUAGUUACACGAUUUUAUCGUUGUACCUUUGGCAAAAGAGAUGAGUGACUUUUUGGAAAGAAUUUGCAAUCCUUUCUCGCUCAUAUGACCCAUUCUUUUAUGCCAUAAAUUUGCAAAAUUUUCUUCAUGAGCCGCAUUUAAUUCACCUUGGCAUAUUUCUGCAUUUAUCCUGUAUAAUGUGCCACUAGCAACUCUUUUUGCAAUCACUAAUGCCCUUUUAGUGAGUCUCCAUUUUUUAUUUGCAAAGCAGUUUUCAUAUCCAUCUUGGUCCAAAGCAACUCCCGAGAUCAAGUUCAUCCGCAAAUCAGGUACGUGGCGCACAUCUUUCAACACUAAUGUGCAUCCAACAUUUGUUUUUAAGCAAACGUCUUCGAUCCCCGCAAUCUUUGAGUAACUUGUGUUACCCAUUUUCACAUUUCCAUAAUCACCGGCUACAUAUCUGCAAAAAGGAUCUCUUACCGGUGUGGCAUGAUAAGAUGCUGCUGUGUCGACCACCCAUUCUGAUUCUAUACCUGUCAAGUGCAUGCAUUCUUCUUCCUCAUUUAUGAGGAGAACAACAUCGUCAUUAUUUUGCAGUAUGGCAGCUGUAUUGUCAUCAUUCUUCUGGUCGCUGCUUUCCCCUUUGCCCCUUUUUAGAUUUGGACAAUCUCUUUUGAAGUGCCCUGGUUGACCGCAAUUGUAGCAAUUUCUGGCCUUCGAUUUUGAUCGGACCUUGGACUUUCCACGAGCUUCGGAUCUACCAUAGUUACUUGAGCUCCUUUGGUAACUUCUCCCUCUACUUUCCGUGAUGAGAGUCUGUCCGUGAUUUUCAGGCCUUUUUCUCAUCUUCUCAUUAAGCAAAAGGGCUGAUGUGACAUCCUUCAACUCAAUAGAGCCCUUACAAUGUAAAAUGGUUGUUGCUAAAGUAUCGUAGGAAGAUGGCAACGAGUUUAGGAGCACUAUGACUUUAUCUUCAUCCUCGAUCUUUACUCUGAGGUUUGCUAGCUGUGUGAUUAGUCCAUUAAGUACAUUUAAAUGAGACAAAAAAAUUGUACCUUCACCCAUAUGUAGCGCAUAUAACUGCUUCUUUAGGUACAAUUUAUUUGUCAGCGUUUUGGACAUGUAUAGAUUUUCUAACUUUGUCCAAAUGCCACAUGCACUCUCUUUAUCGAUGAUGUUAUUAACUACAUUAUCUGUUAAGUGCAAUCUGAUUGCACUAGCAGCCUUUUCAUUCAUUUCUUCCCAAUCCUCAAGUUUCAUGGAUUCGGGCUUUUUGGAUUUACCGCCUAGUGCCUUGUGCAAACUCUGUUGGAUGAGUAAGUCUUUCAUCGUUCUCUGCCACGUUGAGAAACCGUUAUCACCGUUGAAUUUUGCUACCUCGUACUUUACUCCAGACAUUUUUUUUAUUGAGUAUAGUACAAUAAGUUGCAAAAAAUAUUUCUGUAAAUGAGCAGAACCUGUGCUCUGAUACCAAUUGUUGGGAAUAAAUUCGUAACAAAAAUAAUAUUUGCGGUAAUAAAGGCAAGAAAUGCGGAACACAACAAUACGGUUAAUCAACGAGAAUAAAAGAGAAAUAAUGACACCAAGAUUUUACGUGAAAACCCUCCUAAAUAAGGGAAAAACCACGACCCGAGAGGAGCAACGAAUAUCACUAUAAUAAGGAUUUUACACUUGUAUGUCUGAGUAAAACUCCAAAGACCACUACACAUUCAAAAGAAAUAACACUCUUUUGAUUUUUCCACCUCAUUACAAUAUCGCUCACACUCUCUAUUUUUCCUCAAAGAUUAUUUUCCUCUGUGAUGCCUCACUCUUCUUUCUCUCCUUUGUAAUUCUUUUUGGUGAAUUUUUGAAAUGAGCAAGGGCUCUGUAUUUAUAGGAAAAUCUACUCCUAAUGAUGUCACCAGUGACAUCACAAAAAACACAAGAUUUCAACCUUUUCACCUAUGUAGAAUUCUUGCUAAGAUUUUAGUUGAAAAAAGAAAUGGUGAGCUUUGCAUUUUGUUGCAGCAUUUGUUGACUUUAACAAUAAGCAACAAACAAAAUUCAACCAUUUCUGCUAUGUUUAUCUACAAUGGGUAUGGACUCCACACAAUUAACGGGUAAACUAAAUUUGAAUUAUGACACAAAAUUUAAGAUUGUGCUCUUUUUAUUUCACUUCUAGGUAUAAAAUUUGGUUUCUACCAUCAACGGGCACUACAACAAAUAUUGACACUAAUAAAGAGUGUUAAACUCAUUAUCGGUAUUAGUUAAGUGUUAUUAGAAUCAAUGUCGCUAAAGGCUUUAGUGACAUAUACAAAGAGUGACAAUUGUCGCUAAAAAUACAAAUUUAGCGGCAAUUAAGAAUUAAAUACCGCUAAUGGUCAUUGUAUGCGUCUAAAGUUUCGUUCCUGAAAAACAACAAACAAGAAAGGAAAACCGCAAACAGGAAAGGAAAAAUAGCAAGCAAAUAAUAAUAUUUGAAUUUGGAUUUUUGCGAAGGUUACAAACUUUAUGAAAUCUUUAAUAAAAGAUGUAAUCCUCUGAUUUUUCUCUUCACGGAUGAUCUUGAUUUGAUGGAAUUCUUGCAUUUUUCUCUUCACAAAUGAUCUUGGUUUGAUGUUUCACGAAUGAUCUUGAUCUGAUGGAAUACUUAUGUUUAUUGUAAUACUUGCAUUUUUCAAUGAUCUUGAUUUGAUGAAAUACUUGCGGAUCUUGUGAUUUGAUAGAAUACUUGCACUUGCAGAUACCACUGAAGAGCAACUAUGUAUUUUUGUAUAUAUGUAUUUGUGUGUUUUUUGGUCAGAAAAAAACCUUAUAUAUAGGUUUAAUUUAGGGCUUUAAGGUAUUUUGGUCUGAACAAUUUUUAUUCCUGGGCCUGAAGAAUAUGAGUUGGGCUCAUCUUGUCAACUUAAUGGACUGACUCAAGUGAUUUGAAUUUGAUUUAAGGCAUACAAUUUUAACUUAGAUACUAAUCCAACUUUAGCAACGAGUAAUUUAACUUGAUCAACGUAUCAUAAUUUAAAAUUUAAUCCAAAUUUAAUAUAGAUUUAUCAAUAAAACUUUAGCUUACAGUUAUUUUUAUUAUAGUGAGGUUCUUUGAAAGAAGUACCUUGCUUGUAGCCAAUUCUAUCUCUUAGCGAGGGCUUGACAGAGUUCUAAUAGGGGAUUCCGAUAUAUCGUAUAGUUGUUUAAUCUUUUUUUUAGGAGCGCUCUUUUCAUCCAACUCUUUAUUGCAUAAAGAAAGAGCUAGAGUAUAAACUAUACAUGCACUUGGUAAUGUAAAUUUCUUUGAAAUGUUUGACGGGGGACCUCUUUCAUUUGGUAGAUAGAUAAAAACACUACUUCUACCUAAUGAGUAUUAUCUUAGUUUUAUAAUACUUUGUCACAUUUUUUUAGAACUAAAUAAUAAAAUAUUUUAUUAAUAUUUAAAAUAUUUUUUUUGUCAGAUUAAUAUGAUGAAAUAAAUUAUAAUAUACAAUAUUUUACAUAUAAUUAUUAAAAAAAUUAAAUUUUAUUUUAAAAUAACGAAUUAAUCGAAUUGAAUAUGGGCCUCUUGGCUUAAAGGCCACUUUAUAAAACUCAAUUUGCUAUUUAGACACAAGUUUGGUUUUAUUGGCAGAAGAGACACCAUUUAUGAUGUCAUCGUUGCAAGUUCAAAAGUUCAUGACAAAAAGGUCCAUACAUUUUUUAAUUAAUUACCAAGAUAGCAUGAUAGAAUUAAUGAGCUUUAGCGGCAAUUGAUUAGUGCUAAAUAUAUAUAUUUUUAGCGGUAAUUAACACUCUUUGUAUAUUUUUUUAAAGGCUUUAGCGAUAUUGAAUCUAAUGAAACGUAACUAAUGUUGAUAAGAUUUUAAACACUCUUUAUUGAUAUGUCUAUUUAUUACCGCUAAAAGUUAUUUUUAUUGUAGUGUAUGCGUCCACUAACAAUUAAGGAAUCAAGUUCUUUGACAACAUAACAAUAUGAAGAAAAAAAAACAAAGUGAAUCAACACAUAUAAGGGAGAAGAAAAUCACGACAUGUCUUCAUAGAAUUUUUAACUCAACUCCAUUUUAUUCAAAACAGAACACAAAUUCAUAUUACAAACUCCAUUCAUUGAGGAAUUAAACUAUUAAUCCCUCCCCCCUCACUAUAAUACUUCUGCUACUCUGAGUAAUAACUCUAUUGUCUACUAAACCAACUAAUUGUAUUUAGACUUCAAGAAUCCAAUAAUGCUUAACUUUAGUCAACUCAGAUCUCAAAGAUAAAAGAAUAAACAAGCAACAACUCUAGUACAUCCACAUAUUGACUAACUCUAGUUGACACUCCUAAGCAAUUCCACCCAAGAGAACAUCAAAUCAAUAAUGAAAAAAGGCUUUACUAUAACAUAGAUGAUUAUACUAAUUAACUCUAGUUAAUUUGACUCAAACUAAAAACUUAGACGCACCAUCAAUUUAGUAUCCUUUAUAAGUGAAGAAUAGAUUUACAAUAUAAAAGCACAAGACAAAAGCUUAAAAUCCAACAAAAGACGUUACAUCAAUUGAGUAUAAGCAGUGUUCUUCUUUGAGGAUUGUUUUUACUUUUGAAUGCAAAAACUACUGUGUGUUGAGAGGACAUUUUAUGGAUUGGACAUAAACUCUUGGCUUCAGGCUGAAAGACGAAUACGGCAGAGGACACGCACUAACCACAACAGAUGUUGCAAAAUUUACAAUUUUAAAUGUCUUUUUCAUGUAAAAACACUUUCAAUCUUUCCUAGGAUCUUGUACCUCAAUAAAUCCUGAAGUAACGUUAAAUCAUUAAAACUUCAAAAUAGUUCCCAAAAACAUCCGCCUAAGUUUUUUGUCUUUUUGUGUUCGUCUGUAUAGUUCCUUUUUUAAGUUAUAUGAAAGUUUGAUACAUAAAUAAUUUAUUUCUUAUUCAGCUAUUAGAUAACUCCUAAAAAUUUUAGUUUGUUUAAGUUUUAAUGAACUGUGUUUUCUUUUUGUUAAAUCUAAAGCUAAAGCCUAAUAUUCGAGGAGUACUAUAUAUCACUCGAAUAUAUACAUGUGCAACACAUAUAUCGAAAAUCUAUUACAAAAUAGGAAAAGAGAAUAGAGAGAAAGGAAAGUAUAUUGAGUACACAAGAAACAUACUAAAAAAGAUAGAUAUAUAUUAUCAAGAUUGGAUUAAAGUAAUACAAUCCAUCGAUAGUGAAGUUUCGAUACAAGACCCCCAAAAGACAAAACGAAAAAAGAAACAAAAAGACAACAAACACAACAUAUAACUAAUGGAUCCAUAAGCAGGAUCACACUCCAUUCAUCUUAUUCUUAUAACUUCUCCUCAAAUGGUUCCAUAUUCUGAUGAUCAACUUUACUGAACCCUGCAUCGAUGAAUAAAACCAAUAUUAACAAAAAAAAAAAAACAUAAUGACUAAAUAAUACUACAUAAAUAUUAAUGUUCUUUUAGAUUACACAUGAAUAUUUUUUUACUUACUUACGAACACACUUUGUAAUUUACUACUACUACUCCAUUUUAUGAUAAUGUGCUAGUACACAUUAUGUUGUAAAUUGUACUCUAUAUGUUAUAUGCAUUCCUAUUUGCAUAGGUCAACAAUAUUAAUGAAAAUAUUAUAAAUUCAUAACAUACGUGGAGCAGUCAGUGGAGGGGCUGAUCUUGUAAGGAAUGUUAACUUUACAAACACUAGGAAUACCAGCAGCUUUGUUCAAAUCAAUUCCCUUUAUAGCAUUAGCAGCUGAUUUCAAGCAAGUGCAUGCUGUCUUUCGAUCCGCGGUAGUCUUGGCUGAACCCAACAGAUUCUUAACACCACCACAACAGCCUCCUAGAGGGCCACGGCCUUGAAGAUAAGGGAGGCAAGGAGCCAAGCCAGCAGUAACUUGACCACAAGUUAAUGCCUCUGCAUGGGGUGCAACCACUACCAUGCACAAAAGAACAAAGCAUGCAAUUUUGCUAACCAUUUCCAUAUUGUUAAUGAUAAUGAAAAAUAGAGAGGAUAAUAUUAUAGUAAAGAGUAUAGUAUGAUGAAAUGUGUUUUGGUUUGAGUGAUGGGUGAAAAAGAUAGUGAGAUCUUUGGGGUUUUAUAGAGGAAAAAAUUUGGACUAGAUGGACAAUAGAGUUAGGUGGAUGUUGGGGUGAAAUUUAAUGCAUUUUAUUAUGGAGAUGCCGCACAUUAGGUUAUAAAGUCAUGAGGUCUAGUAGUAUGGACAUUAUUUAUUAAAAGAUUAUACUUCCUUCGCUUCACAAAAAAUGAUCCAGUUUAAUUUAGUACGUAAUUUAAAAAAUAAAAAAGACUUUUGAUCAUGUAAUUCUAAAUUAAAUUUAUGUAGAAUUUACAAAAUUGCCUUUUAAUCUUGUGGCAUUAAACAUGUCAUGUGGGAAGUUGUUAUCAAAAAAAAAAAGAAAAGGUUAUUCUUUUUUAAAUAGACUAAAAAAAAGAAAGUCAUUCUUUUUUAAAUAGAGAAAACAGUUUCUUUAUUUUAAUUUGCUUGGUCUUUUUUGAUUUGGAUAAAGUUUUAAAAUGUUUAUAAAAAUCUAAGAAACUUCUUAAACAAAUGUGUCGAUGUUAUGUUAGGUAAAAAGUUUGAAAUGAAGAAUUGCUUAAAAAAAAAGAAAGAUCAUUCUUUUCGUUUUAUUUGCUUCUUGUUAAUUUGAGACAUAAAUAUGAUUGCAGUAAAACAAAUAUUAAUCGUAAAAAUGCAGUAGUUUUAUGUGUUCUUAUCUUUUUCACGUAAGGCACUUCAUUUACCUAAUCAUGUCUUCUCUAUUCAAAAAAAUUGGAGUUGAUUACUACAAUUUAAUUAAUUUUAAUUUAUGUCAAUAUCUUAAUUACUAAUUCUAAGCUAAUUACGCUAUAUAUUUUAUUAUGUGUACCAUCCCCUUUAAGCCGAUUGAUCCGUUUGUGUUGAUUACUAAAUGGACUUAGGCACUUCACAUUUGUAUAUCACUAUAUUAAAAAUGAGUUUUAACGGUAAUUAAUUAAUAAUUAUUAUUAAAUAUUUAUUUAUAUUGAUAAUUAACAUUUAAUAUAUGUCAAUAAAAAUUUUAGUAUUCUUUAUUAAUCUGUCGAAUUAUUGUCGUUAAAAAUUAUUUUUGUUAAAGUGUAUGUUAACAUAAAACUGUUGAUUGUUAUGGACCAUCGAUUCAAAUUUGAUCGUGUAUUAUUAUACUUUAUUUACAUAUUUUAAUUGCUUUUAGUUAAUCGCACAUCUUUGUAAAAAUAAAUUAUAUCUUGAUUUAAAUUUAUAGAUAUCAUAUGUAAAAUGAAAUGAAUACCAAAAUUAUGGAGUUAUCUUGUUCUUACACUUGCCAAAAUCUCGUCGAUUGUGGCCUCAGUUCAUGUCGGUUCAAUAAUUGUGCAUCUUUAUUUAUUUGGUAGGAAUUAAGAUUUGACCCAAACCAAACAUAUUAAUUAGGCCAAACAAGAGGAAAUUUCUUGAGGCACAGUCCUAGCUAAAGGCCUAUACUUUGGUAUACUUUAGGGGAUCAUGUUUCUAUAUGCAUAAGUUGAAUAUUUCUGUAUGCAUACGCUAUGGUCUUGUGAAAUUUUGUUAUUACGUUUUUUUAAUAGUAUAAAUUUAAAAUUUCUAUAAUUUUAUUUCUAUUUGUAUAAUUUCAAAAUAUCAUAUUUAUCUUAACUAUUUGUAUACAAUUUUUUUAAAAAAAAUUAAUAAACUAUUACGUUUAUACAUUGACAAAAAAAAAUACAGAUAAUGAGUUCUAAAAUUUUUUAAGUAUAUAACUUGAAUAUACUUAUCAUAUUUAUAAUCUCGCAAGCGAAAUACACAAACUAUAAUUUCAUGACAAACAAAAUUAUAGUUGUAAAACAUAACCUGUAAAUUUUCUCAAGUUCACCAAAUUAUUGAAUUUUGUUUGUCAUAUUAGCCCCAUUCAUUUUCUCCUACAAUGUCUAGGAGUGCGUGCCCAUAUCGACAAAACAGUCCCACGUGAAUAUCGAUAAGCCAUUUUGAAAUUACUCCAAUAACCAUAUCUCUCUGUAUCAAUGUGAAUAUGUGAUCCACAUUGUGUACAUUCUCGAAAGGAUGAAUGAGGAAUUUAAUAAACCAAAUUUGUUAAGAUUUUAGACAUAAAUUGGUGAUAUAUAUAUUAGACAUAAAUUGGUGAUAUAUAUAUAUAUAUUUGACAUAAUAUAUAAAUAUAUUAUUUAAGUUUACUUCAAAUUAUAUUUAUGCUCUUUAAUUUUAGGUGUGCAUAAGUAGACACUUAAACUUGCAUAAAGUUGAACAAAUUGACACGCAUGUCUUACAUGACAUUGUACAUGUCAUUUUAUUAUCUUAUGUGGUAUCCUACGUGUAUCGUGUCAUGUAAGAUUCGUUUGUCUACUGGUUCAAAUUUAUACAAGUUUAAGUGUCUACUUGUAUAUACCCAAAGUUGAAGGGCAUAAAUGUGAAAUGAGGCUAAGUUAAAAGACACUUAAACUUGCAUAAAGUAUAAUUGUGUACUUGUGUCCGACCGUAUGAGAUUUGCCUAGACUCAGUCCCGAGGUUUGUGUCGUCUUACUGGGAUUCAUCUUAACUCAAAUGAACUCUGGCAAACAUCGACAAAGCUGACACAUGAAUGACUUUGAUACCAUUUGUAACAGCACAACUCGCUAAUGAUAUUGUCCGCUUUUGACUUAUGAUGCACAACUUUAAAGCGUGUCGCUAGUUGGUGAGACUUGUUUACUUAUAUACUCAAUAUCUCUUUUGUAUUUUUCGUCAAUAUAAGACUUCUUAUCUUAAGUGGGGUGUCAGAGAUGAGCUAAGCUUUUUGAACCUGAUUUAAAAAUAAAACUUUUAAUCACAUCCCAAAUAAAUUCCGACUCGUGAGACUAGAAGCAAGGCCUCUUUGUUGGCCAACUAAAAAAAAUAAUUUAGAUAAAUUUUUGGAAUAAUUACAUGAAUACACAUCUAAUUUUCAUCAUAAUCUUAAAAAUAUUCCUACCAUUACAAGAAUUCCCUCUCACAUAUUCUAUCCCUUCUCAAUUACAUCUCCAAUUAAAUAAUGUAUUAUUCGCAAUUCAUGAGCUAUGUACCUUAAAUUUUCUGAUAUAUCCGAGAUUGUAUAAAUUUAAGAAAUUUUUAUAAUUUUAAAAAGCAUAAAAACAUGAUAUAAUUAAUUUUUAAUUCUAUGAAAUUUAUGUAAUUUUUACUAUAUGUAUUUAUUUUUUUAACGGAAAAGGGCCUAAAAUACCCUCGAAGUAUUGAAAAUGGUACACAAUUACCCCCCAUCCACCUAUUAGCCCAUAAAUACCCUUCACAUCCACCUUUGGGUCCAAAUUUACCCCUUCAUUAACGGAUCAAAAUUUAAAAAAAUAUAUAAUUUUUAAUUGCGUGGCACUCAACCAUUGGUUGUAAUUUAAUUAUUUAAAAUAAUUAAAACCCACCCAUUACCCACCCAAACCCGCCCCACUUACCCAAUUUUAAAAAACCCAUCUAACUAAAAAACCCUAAAAAUUUAAUCAUCCAAUUUUCACAAACCCACGCUCAAGGUUGUCUUCUUUUUCUUCUUCCUCUUGCAACUUGAAGAAAAUUCGUUCACAAUCUCGACUUGAACUCAAGUAAGAACUUUUGUGCACUUCGAAAUUUCAGUUAGGAUUUAGGUUUUAAUCGAUGUUACUUGUUUUGAGAAUCGAUUUCAAGGUUGUCUUCUUCUUCUUCUUCUUCUUCAUCUUGCAACUUGAAGAAAAUGUCAGCUUCUUCUUCGAUUUCUUCCCCUGAAGAACUUCAAUCUCGUACAUGUAAGUGUGGAUUUUUGGCAAGAUAUUAUACUGCUACAACUCUUGAAAAUGGUGGGCGUCGAUUCUACAGAUGUGGUCGUGUUGGGUCAAAUUCUUGUGGUUAUUGGAAUUGGAUUGAUGACAAACUUCCACGUCAUGUGUCAACCAUGAUUCAUAAUCAAAAAGUUGAAUUGGAUUCAAUUCGGAAAGAAAAAAAAUCAUUUGAAGAAGAUUGUGGAGGAUAUGGAUGGCAUUGGAGAUUCUUAUUUGAAGGAUAUGACCGCCGAUGAAAUGUCUGAGUUGAAUGAUAUGAAUGAAAAUGAAAUUUCUGAUUUGACAAAAGUUUCUGCCUUGAAGGGAAAAAUGUCAAAUUUGGAGUUGAUGGAUAAAAUUGAGAGUUCAAAGAUGAAGAAAGUAUCUAGCUUGGAUGAAAAAGUUUCGAAGUUAGAGUUGAAAGUUCAUAAAUUGAUAAGUUUGCUUGCAGUUUCUUGGGCUAUUAUUCUUGGUUUUGCAGCUGCCAAGAUGAUUUAGUGUAGUGCAAUUGUUUGUGUUAAGUUAGUGAGCUGCAUUUUAUUUUGAUUAUUUGUGAAGAUGAUGUUGGUUGUUGUUGUGUCUACUAAUGAAGAAUUAUGCAAUAUUGUUAUUACUAAUGAUACAUUGGUGUGUGCAUUUUCUGGCAAAGCUACAUUUGUUUUGAUUGUUAUGUCUACUACUUCAUUGUUAAUUUCUCAUCAAUUUGGCAGUAAUUCAGUGAUUGUUGCUUCCUCUGUUCAAAGUAAUUCAGUGAUUGUUCCAUUUGACUGAGCCUCCCUUUGAUCCACUGAGUCACAAUCCUGGCCAUAAAUAAAUAGUUUAUUAUACCAUCUAAUACUGAAAACAUAGACAUUAAACACUCAUUUUUUUACAAAAUAGUCGGAGAGACAAAUUACUUCAUUGCUCGUGCUUGGAACUUUUACUAGACCUAACUGGUUGACUGGUGGAGUUCUAUUAGCAUGGUGUUGGUCUGUCACUACUAAAGCAUUAGAAUUUUGCUGUUGUGCACGCAACUUAAUUACACUUCGGUCAGAGGUAUCAGUCUCAGUAUCCUCAGCUUUUUUUAUCAGUGACGACUACAUUGUAAAGACAAUAUCGUGGCUUAACAUCAAUGAUGAAAAAUAAUAACAAAAUAAAGACAAUACCAUACUUAACAGUUGAAAGAUACACUAUAUGAUGCAAAAGGAGGUCUGUCAAAUUGAACCAAUGCAUCAAUUAUGUAGAACACUGCAGAUAUAAAUAAUAGAAGUCAAGAAAUUCUGCAUGCAUACCUGUCGCUCAGGGAACUUUGGCAUUUCAGAUAAGAUGUCCAUUAAAGUUGCACCUUUCUUACUCAACUCAAAGUAUUCCACAGCCCGUUGCUGUAUCUCUACAUCGAUGCAGCCUUCAUACCUGGGGUAUUAUGCAGCUCUAGCAAUUAUUGCAAUAUCUUUGGAUAUAUCCACAGAAGAAAAAAAACCUUACAGGAUGAACAGAAAUUACAACACCAUAAAAUAAUUCUCUUACUUCCUGAAUAUUGCCCAAAUCUGAUUCUGUAGCUCCGGAUCUGGUGGCUGUGUAUGCAUCAAGAUCUUAGCAUAUGUUGACAGAAGAAUAGGAAUUGUUGAAGUCCUGAAUAGCAUAGUUUGAGGUAAAAAUAACAGACAGGAGAAAAAAGAGCAAUAAGAAAUUGAGAUCAAACACUGAAUGUCCUUACGUAACAGUAGGGAACUUCUCAUGAAUGAUACUAAAGAUUUCCUUUGGACUACAUCCAGGCCUUCUGGCCAGAAGAUGGCUGUAUUUUUUUCCUUUUUCAAAUUGACAAUAAAAGGACAGAAGAUAUCUACAUUCAAAACAAAAAUCACAAAAAAGAUUAUUUAGCUCUUGGGUGCUUAUCUCUGGCUGUAUGGCAACUAAACAUUAGAACUGGAAGAGCAGAUGAAAUAGCACAGAAGUUCUAAGAUUAGGUGAUGCAGAUAUAGCUUGAAGACAAAAUUAGGACACCCAGGUCAGGUUGAGGCAAUGAAAGCCUGAUACCUGCAACAGUUCUUCCACUAUGUCUUUUGCAUUUGAAACAUCACACAUUCCAUAUAGUAAAUCAAGCGCACGUCUCCUUAUACUGUUUGAAGUACUUAACGUCAGUAAAGAAAGCAAUUUGAAUACUUAAGUGGAACUUAAUAGACAGACACAAGCGGCUAUUGUCGAUAUUUUCCCAUCAUUUCACCAGAAAAGAGGACAUAUAAAUAAAACAGCAGACAUAUUGAAUGUCCAGCUCAGCUCCAAUGUCAUUAAAUUGACAAAGAGAGCUUUCUCUUAAAGGAGUAAUCAUGCACAUGUCACACUGAGAAAGCUUUUGGGCAGAAAAAAUUGAGCUUUACUAACUUGGUUGUUCCAGCAGCACAUUUUACUUAAUGUACUUCUGUUGUGAAACAAAAGCCAUCAGUUUCAAAUAGAGUUCCGAGGAUACCAACCAAACUCAAGCUGAAACACAUAACACCAAGCAAGUUUUUAAUGUAGUCUCAUAAAUAGAACACAGCAUGUGCAAGGCAGUUUCAAAUUCCGGUCAUUCUAAGAAAAAUCAAUUACAUGGUUUCCAAAAUAUAGGAGAAAAGUACUAUAAAAUCAAAGUGCAGGGAUGAGAUAAUUGUGAGUCAAACAUUCACUUGCCACACUGACAGUAUCAUAUGCAUAGUUGUGAGUCAAACAUUCACUUGCCACAAUUUAUCAUAUGCAACAGUUCCAUAACCACAAAGUUCCACAGUUCCACAGACCACAAAACUGCAACAGUUCCACAACCACAAAGUUUCAACAGUUCCACAAAGCCACCAAAUAAUAGAAUGAAUUCAUAAAAUUUUCAAGUCACAAAAUAUUUUCAGCCCACAAAACAUUAUCAAUCUAAUUUGUAAUGCUUGCCCCUCCAAAAAUAGCAGUUUAAGAAGUUUCAUUGUGCCAUUACAUACUAAAUGAAAACUCUUUAAACCAAUACUUAGCAACUACUUUCUAAUGUUUGCCCCUCUUUGCCUUAAGCUUGCCAAUCUUUUUUCCUUGUCUUUUUUCAACUGACUUGAGGUCACACAUGCUUUGCCUUUCCAAGUUAGCUUUUUUGGUGAGUAUGGUAAAUUAGUAGGGACAACAACACCAUUUUCAUCACCCUUAGAACUAAUCAUUCUUAAACCAAUUGGUUGUUGUAGCAUCUUUUUCAUUUGAAGUCUAGUUUUUUCUUCAGAUAUCACUCUAGGUGCAAGGAUUGUAUUCUCAUCCUCAGAUUCAAUACUGUCUUCAACUUCAUCCUGAUCAAAAAUUGCAAUCAAAGGUGCAGUAACUUUUUCUUUUCCAUCGUUUUUAGACCUCUUUGGUAGUGCAUCAACUUUGUCCUUUGAAACAUUUUUUCUCUUUGAUUUUGAAGGACCAGCAACUUCAUUGAAUUCUUCACUUGAUUGAUGGCUAGUUUGUCGACUAGAAGAUGCAACAAAUUCAAGAGUUGGCAUCAAGAUUGGUUCAUCUGGGAGAACUUGUCUUCCUUCUUGAAGCUGUAAAAUUUGUCAAAGUGUAAGAUAAAUAAUUAUACAUUGAAAGUAAUUAAAAAUUGAUAAAACACGACUUACUAGGGGACAUCUUCUUCGAUUAUGACCUACAGCACUGCAAUUUCCACAUGUCAUUUGCAAUCCUUUUCUACUUUUCGACCAUAAUCCUUCCCUUUUUCUUGCCUCAUCUUUUUCCCUUACUCUCUUUAAUUUUGGUCUACCAACCAAUUUAUGAAUUUGUGGUGGUUGCAUAGCUUGAGAAAGAUCAAUUUUCCAGAAUUUCUCACCUCUAACAGGUUGAAUUUUAGGCUGGUAUACAAGCAAGUAAGCUUCUUUAGAAUACCACCAAUGCAUCUCAUUUAGUGGCUCUAUUUUAUCAUGUUCUAAUGCUUUAAUAGCAUGAGGACAUGGUAUUCCUGUCAAAUCCCAUGUCCUACAAGUACACUUCUUUCUAGAAAGAUUCACAACAUGUCUAUCUACACCCUCAACCACCUCAUAUCCUAAGUCUCCAUUAGCAACAACUUGAAAACCUUGAGCAAUCAUUCUGAAAUCAUGAUACAGAUCCACAGAAUAUGGACUAUACUCUUCCGUCCACUUCUUACCCUCUUCUUCAUGUUUUUUCAACCUUUUCAUAACCUAUAGAUAACAAUGAAAUAUAUAACAUGUACAUGACAUAUAUAAUUUAUACAUGUUCACCUACAUAUUACUAUCAUAUUAAACAUUAAUAGAUGUUAUCAUAUAGUUAUAUAAAAUAGCGGCAAUACCUUAAUUCUAAUGUCUUCCAGCAUCUUGAUUAUUGGUUUUGCCCUUGCUUCCAAAAUCCAUUUGUUGAAAGACUUAGUAAAAUUAUUUUCACAGGAGUAGUUUUUGCAGACAGUGUCAAAAAAGGCCCUGCACCAAUGUUGUGGUGGAUACCAUAAAAGACCUUCGACUGCUUUUUUAGACACAGAACCCAUGGACUUUAAUUGGUCUUCAAAUUCCUCUCCAUAUGUACUCCAAGCAGACCACCAAAACAUCUUCUUCAUCUGUACACCACUCCAAGACUUAGACCAAUUGGCUUCUAUGUGUUUUGCACACCAUCUAUGUUGUACUUUUGGAAGCAAAGCACUAACAGCACCAAUCAAGCCCUGUAACAAUAAGAAAAAAAUAGAAUAGAAUAGCUUAAAAAAAUUCAAGUGUAUACAAUAACUAUAAAUAAAAAACUGUCAAACACUUGCAAAAUUACCUUUUGCAUAUCAGACAUUAGUGUCAAUCCUUCACCAUCUGCCAACCUCAAUGAGUUCCUCAGCAACUCAAUGAACCAUUUCCAUGUUCUAAUAGUUUCUCUGUCAACUACUGCCCAAACAAGUGGAUAGAAAUGCUUCAUUGAAUCUUGACCAAGUGCGACCAAUAAAAUUCCCUUGAACUUGCCUCUUAAAAAGGUGUCAUCUAACCCUAUAAAUGGUCUCAAAUCAGCUCUCCAACCACUUUUCAAAGCCUGAAUACAAAUAUACAUUCUCAAAAAUUUUCUUUGUCCAUUUUCCAACAAAGCCUCUUUGGAUAUGUUUAUAAUUACAUCAGUACCAGGAUUACUGUCCCUUAACUCUUGAGCAUAACCCUCCAAUUUAUUGAAAUCAUCAACAUAACUACCAUCUAGUUUUUCCAGUACAAGUCUUUUAACCCUCUUCAUUUUUGAAUAACUAAUAUUAAGGUUAAAGUUAUCAUCUACAAUCUUUCUCAUUUCAGUCACUUUGCAGUUAGGAUCAUUUUGGACCCUAUUCUUAAAGUAGUGUGCUAGAGCUUGUUGAGUAGCUCUUCUAUUCUUGAAUGCUUUUGGACAUGUAUGUUUUGUUUGCAAAGUCUUAAUUUCAAAUUCUUGCCCUUUCUUAACUUCAGAAAUAAGACACACAAAAGGACAACCAACAUUACAUUUAUAUCUAACUCUAACAGAGUCACUCUUGUCAACUCUAAGGGCAGCCUUCCUAGCAAUUGAGUAGUAACUUACAACCCUUUUAGCUUCAUCAAGGUUCUUAAAACUCAUACCUUUUUCCAACUCUUUAAAGUUGUCAAGUUGAUCAUUAAUUUCUCUUUUCUUUUCCAACCUAAAGGAUUCCAAUUCUUCACUAUUCUAGUCACUUGGAUAAGGCUCAUUUUCAUCAUUUUCUUCCUCACUUGAUUCACCUUCAGUUGCAACAUCUAUUCCAACAUUCACUGUGACUAGAUUAGGUUCAUUCAAUGUGACUAGAUUAGGUUCAUUUUCAUCAUCUUCUUCCUCACUUGAUUCACCUUCAGUAGCAACAUCUACCGUGACUAGGUAUGGUUCAUCAUUGUGGCUGAUGUCAAUAGCUGGAACAACAUCAUCCCCCUUAUCUACAACAAAUAAUUCAAGUACACCAGACUUAAUAGACAGUGUUGUCUGUAUUGUUCUUAUGCCAGAAUCCCCCUCAAUCAAAUAAUACCUCCCAGAAGGUCCUUUGAGUAGAAGUUGUUGGACCUUACUAAAACCUAACUUUUCAUGGAACUCUUCACAUAUGUCUAUAUAUGACAAUAAAUCUGGAUCAUACUCCUUCCAAUCAUGAGUGAAUUUUUUAAUGUAAAUAACAUUAGACGUCAGUACCCACUUGCCCCCAUAAUAGAAUAAUAGGUCCACCUUGUCAACCAUUCUUCAAGAAAAGGACAUUAUAGACCAAAAAAAAGAAGAGAAAAGGGCCAUAUUAGACAACAACAAAAUAUUUAAAAAACAGAGGAAUCUACCAAGAGUAAAAGAAUAGGGACCACAUGCUUCAAAGUAAAACUUUACAUACGCAAAAAUAUAUAAUAUAAUACCUAAAAUCUAAAAAAAUGGACCAUUUAAUAAUAAAAUAAUUCAUACCUAACAAUAGUAAAGACAUAUCUGACUAACACAAAUUGAAAAUUAUUAUGAAAUAAAGGGAGAAACGACGAGUAAAGGCAGAAAAGAACAAACUUGAGACAACAAUAAAAAAAUCCUACUCAAAAUCAACAUAAUAACACACAACACUAAUAUAAAUAGACAACACUAAACAAAAUUGUAGUAUCACCAUAAGUAAUUGUCAAAAAAGCACAGAAUACACGAAAAAUUAACAUAAACUUGAAAUCGAUUCUCAAAACAAGUAACAUCGAUUAAAACCUAAAUCCUAACUGAAAUUUUGAAGUGCACAAAAGUUCUUACUUGAGUUCAGGUCGAGAUUGUGAACGAAUUUUCUUCAAGUUGCAAGAGGAAGAAGAAGAAGAAGACAACCUUGAGCGUGGGUUUGUGAAAAUUGGAUGAAUAAAUUUUUAGGGUUUUUUUAGUUAGAUGGGUUUUUUAAAAUUGGGUAAGUGGGGCGGGUUUGGGAGGGUUUAGGCGGGUUUGGGUGGGUAAUGGGUGGGUUUUAAUUAUUUUAAAUAAUUAAAUUACAACCAAUGGUUGAGUGCCACGUAAUUAAAAAUUAUAAAAAUUUUUUAAUUUUGGUCCGUUAAUGAAGGGGUAAAUUUGGACCCAAAGGUGGAUGUGAAGGGUAUUUGUGGGCUAAUAGGUGGAUGGGGGGUAAUUGUAUAUCAUUUUCAAUACUUCGAGGGUAUUUUAUGCCCUUUUCCGUUUUUUUAAAAUAGAAAAGUACAAAUUACCAAAGGAUGAGCCCAAAAUCAAAAUCUACUUAGCCCAUCAAAUUACAAAGUCCAAAAUGUUUUGAAAUUUGAACAUAAAGUCAUGUUGAAAUUAUAAAAUAAGUUAACAAAUUGUAUAUUUUCCAACCCUAAAAGGUGUAGCAGCUCUAUCUUCUCUUUCACUUUUUACCUCCUGUUAUUAGAGUAGUUUAUUUUGGACUUGAGAUUUCGUUAAUAAUACAAUAUGAUAUUAUAUUGGAUAUAUCAAUGUUUUGACAUGUUUAAGUUAGAAUUAAGAUUUAAAAAAAUUAGAAAAGGAGAAAUUAUAUGGUUAAGUAAACAUAUACUUCCUUUGUUCACUAUUUGUUGUCAAAAUUUUUAUUUUUAGAUUCAAACUAUGAAACUUGACUAAAAUUUUAGGAUAAUGUAUUUUCAUCAUAUUGAAAUGUAAAAAAUUACAAUGUAUAGUACUUUUUGUAUAGUUUUUAAAUAUCUUAAUUUUUUAUUUUAAAAAUCAAAUUAAUAUAAUCUAAUUUAACUUUAAAAAUAAGUCAAUUGUCUUUCGAAAAGCACAAUAUGACAAAUAAAAGUGGAUAGAGGGAGUACAGUAAUUAGGAGCAUAACUAUAAUUUUAGUUAAUUAUCACUCACGAUCAAUAUUUAGUGAUAAUUACACGGGCUGGGGUUUCGAGUUUGUAUAAUUCGUAUGUUUGUAUAAUUCAAAUUUUGUAUAAUAUAUUUGUAUUUUGUAUAAUAUAAUUUGUAUAUUGUUUAAAGUUCAGAUGUUUAUGUUUAUAUAAUUUCGUUAUUUCAAGUAUACACAAAAGUUGCUCAAUUAUACAAAUGUACCCGCAAAUUAUAUGAACUCACUUGUGAAUUAUAUAAACGAGACAACUUAAACUAUAGUUACAACUCAUUAAUAGACAAACUAUAGUUAUGCAACAUAAUUAAAUUUAUUAUAGAGGUUAUUUAUGAAAAUUCGCCUUUAAAAAUAGGGAAAAAUUAUGCUGCUAAGCAAAUUUGUACUAUUUAAUUGCUCAUCAUAGCUAUAGUUUUCCAUAACUAUCACUCGCGACUAAUAUUAUACAUGAAUUAUGUGGGCUGACUUCGAAUUUGUAUAGGUAGUCAUGUUUGUAUACGUAUAAUUCGUCAGGAUAUGCAAAUACAUAUGUAUAAUAUACAAUUUUUAACCUAUAUUCAUAUACAAUUCACCUCUCUCCCACUCUCUGCCCUCUCUAGCUCGUAUCUCUUCUCCUCUCUCAAUCUCGCUCGCCUCUCUCCUUCCUCUCCCAAUAUUGCUUGUCAUUUAUACAAAUGUAUAUGUAUAAUAUACAGUUAUAUACAAUUAUAUACAUAUACAGUUCACCUCUCUCCAACUCUCUGUCCUCUCUCCUACCUCUCUCCAUCUCGCUCGCCUCUCUCCUCUGUCUUCCAGUCUCACUUGCCUCUCUCCUCCCUCUCCCAAUCUCUCUUGCCAUAUAUACAACAUAUGUAUAAUAUACAAUUGUCUAACCAAUAUACAUAUACAAUUCACCUUUCUCCCACUCUCCCCCCUCCCUUCUCUCUCGCCUCUCUCCUCUCUCCUCCAUAUAACAUAUAGCUGAAAAUUGUAAUCAUCAAACUAUAUCAAUGGAGAGUAAUUAAUUAUUUUUAAAUGGCUAUAUAGCCACUUAAAAAUAGUAUAUAUCGCCGGCCCGUAAAGAGUUGUCAGACUAACUAUUUAAAAGCCCAUUAGUAUAAUAAGCCGAGCUCUCAGAUCCUAAAGGAGUGUCUUUUGGGUAAAGAUUUGUCCAAAAGUAUUACUACCAAAAAUUUGCACAUGAUCUUAAUUUUUUUACACAUCUUUUCUUUUCAUAAUCUCCAUUAUUUCCUAUCAAUUUUAAAAUUUUUCAAAAUCCCUUAUUUUAUUCCCAAAUUCAAAACAUUUGUUACAUAAAUCCUAACUCCUAAAAUUAAUAUUUAUUCCUUCCUUAUUUCAAUCCACAAAUCAUUCCCUAUACCACACCAAUAAUGGAAUCAAAAAUUCAAAAAAUAACUUUUUAUUUCUCAACAAUAGAAUUUCAGAUUAUAAUAGUAAAAAAUAAAAAUAACAUCAAAGUUGAUAAAAAUCAAUCGUUAUUUCUAUAAAAAAAAAAAAUCAAAUUAAGAAAAUGAAAAAAUAAGAUAAAAGCAAAAAACUUAUAAAAAACAAAAAAAUUAAAAUUGAUUGAAUCAUAAAAAAAUUAUAUGUUGAAUCAAGAUUUAGAAAAACUCUUUUACUUUUUGGUGAUGAAUUUUUUUUUAAAAAAAUAACAAAUGAUUGAGAUUUGAGAAUAACGUCGAGAAAGAAAUAGGAAAAAUAAUAACAACAAAAAUAAAAAUCAACUAAUAGAAAGAAAAUCAAUUGAUUGAUAUACCUUAUCAAUCACAAAUUACUAUAUUAUGGAAGAAUAUUUGUUAUUUAAUUAUAUUAGGAUUUUUUUUCAUAUUUGAUUAUUUUAUUAUUAAAUAAUAUUUUUCUUAUUUCAUUCAUAUUAUUAAAAAUCUUUUGUUAUAAAUCAAAAACUAGAAAGUCAUAUUUGAUUUGCAAUGUUUGUACAUGUUCGAAUUUUAAAUCUACAUUGAAAUACAAGUUCAAAAAAAGAAAAAAUAGUUGGAUCAGUCAUUACACGAUUAUCACUGCCAUAGACACAAUGUAUCUCAUUUAUUUUGAUUCUUAAAUUAGUUUUGUUAGUUUUAUUAUUGAUUUGAUACAUUAUUGCUACAAUCGUUGUUUGUUUCACGCAUCUGAUACUUAAUUUUCAAUGUAUCUCGUUUAUUUUGAUAAAAACACUAUGUAUCAAAUUAAAUAUCUUGAUACAUAAAUACGUAAACAUUGAUAAUCUUAUUGUAUCAAAUACAUAAUCAACUACUAAAUGAUACCUUUAUAGAUACACUUUAUUUCAGCUUACACACACUAUUCUUUCACAACCUUAUUGUAUCCGAUACAUUAUUAUCAACAAAAAAAAAAUUAUAGAAAAAAGCAUCUGAUCAACUUGAAAUCUUCCACAAUUGCAUAUUUAUCUUUCAUGGCAAACAAUAUAUCUUUCUUUCAGAAUCAUAGACUGAAUAAAGAUACUCUGAUGAUUCAAAAACCUGUUAACAUUAAAGAAAUUAGUGAUACAUUCCGUAAAACAGUUAUUUCUAUGCAUCAAUCAUAAACAAUCAAACAACUAAACUUAUAUACUUAUAUCAGGUACAAAAUAUAACUUUAAUCUGAUACAUACCUCAUUCUUGAACAUCUUGAUGCUUUUACAACAAAAUAUAUGCAUAAUGUAUCAUCUAUAAUGUAUAGUAUUCCACAAACAACAAGAUAUACAAAUAGUAAUGUAUCAUGUUAGAUAUUUGGUAAUGAAACAAUAAUUUAAAUUAAUAUUACAUGUAUCACACAGUGACUUGUUGAUCUUUAAUUCCAAGAUUACUUAUUUGAUGUAUCUAAUUAAUAGGAGUAUAAUACUUAUCAAUUUAUACAAGAAACACAAAUACUAAUGUAUCACGAUUGAAUGGUCAUCUCAAAAAUAUAAAUAAAAAUCGAAUUAACAACACAAUAUAUAUAGUUUCAUACCUCUGAUUGUCUGAUCUAUUUUACUAUGCAAUUAAAACUCUGAUCUAUUUUAUACAUUGCAAAUCGAGACUCAUAUUUUUUCUAGAUUUUUGAAUGUCAGAUUUUUUUUUUCCAGAUUUUUCAUUGUCUUAGCAAAAUCAAUAUAUUCAUGAUGUACCUUCUCAUUGUUUUUGUGAUUUUGAAUCAAAAUUGAAAGGAUCUUCGACUAAUUGGAAGAAGAAAUUUAAAAUCCCACUUAUGUAUCAUUCAUAACUCACCUUGAUUUUCCAGAUUCUUGAACGUAUUCAUGAUCAUGUAUUGGCUAUUGUUUUAACUUUUAAAAUCUAUUAUGAUUGGGGAAAAAAUUGAAAGAUGAAAAUUUUAAUUGUUUGAAACCAUAAGAAUUUGAAAUAGAAUUGAGAGAAAAAAAUUUAAAUUUUGAAUUAAGACGGACAGAUUUGGAUGAGAAUUGGAGAAGAAAAUUUAAAUUUUGAUUUGAUUAAAUCUGAUAAGAUUUUGAAGAGAUUGAAAUCAAUUAAAUUAGCGUGAUUUGAGGAACUAACAAUCAAUUUUCUAUUCUCUUUCCUUUGAAAGUGUAACUGAAUUUGUUUUAAUGUAUCAUAUUUAAUGUAUCCAACUUAUUUGCUAUGUAUCCGAAUAACAUUAUUUUUAAGGGAUUUUCGUAAAUUUAAAAAAAAAAAUGGAUAAAAUGUAAUUUAAAUCUUACACUAUGGGAUUUAGAUAAGUUAUACUUUUUUUUAAUAUUAUAAAUAGUAAGUAUUAGUAUUUUAAAAAAAAAAACAAUAAGUUAUAAUUUUGUGCUAGUAAUUAAACAUUAUCUCAAAUAUCAUGACUAUUUUUCUUUUGCAUUAGCAGUAUAAUCAUCAACAAGAUAAGUCUAUUCUUAGAUUAGUGAAUUGCACAAAUUUAUCAUUAUUAUAUGCAUUUAUUAUACUUCUAUUUCACCUUUAAUAUAUUAAUGCCACUUAAUUGAGAAUAAAAAUAUGAUAGAUGUCAAAUAUUUUAUCGAUCAUAAUAAAAAUAAUAAAUCAAUAACUUUUUGCCUCUUUUUCUUGUGUGUUCGGAUUUUUUUCAAAAGAAAAAAGAAAAAAAGAUGAAGAUAUUCGGCAUGGUAAAAAAAUAAAUAGAACCUUUUGUCUUAGAAAGAAUUUUUUCAAACACGAGAAAAGAUAAUUUCCUAGUGGAUUAUCAGUCUAAUUAAGUUUAAUUUACUACAGUUCAUAUAUAUAUAUAUAUGAUGUCCAUGCAUGCGAAACCGUAGCGUGCCCAAAAUUUUCACAAAGUGAAUUUAAGAUAAAAUAAAUUUAAACAAAAUGUGAGAAUGGGAAUUCAAACAUGGGCAGACUGAGAAAAUUAUGUCUUUUUCACCAAUAGGCCAAGCGUCACACUUGUGUUAAUCUCAUCAUUAUAAAAAUCAUAACACAAUAAACAAAAUGUACGAAAAAGAAAAUGGCUUCAAGUUAUAGCUUCGUAUUUCUUCAUGUGUUAGUCAUAUUUUGUCUAGCACACACGGCUUUUUCGGAUUUAUCAGAUGAUUUCUACGAUGAUAUUUGUCCCCAAGCUUUACCAACCAUUAGACGGGUUGUUGAGGAUGCAAUCAGCCAAGAGAGGCGUAUGGGCACCUCUUUGCUACGUUUACAUUUUCACGAUUGUUUUGUUAACGUGAGUUUAAUUUCUUUCUCUCCUAACUAGCUAGUUAACGUUUGGUAAUUGCUUGAAAUGUUGUUACUAAUUAUACUUAUAAUAACGUAGGGUUGUGACGCUUCAAUUCCUCUUGAUCAAACGGCUACUAUUGAUAGUGAGAAGACUGCUCUUGCUAAUAACAAUUCUGCUAGAGGAUUUGAGGUGAUCGAUAGAAUCAAAUCAGAGGUUGAUAAAGUUUGUGGACGUCCAGUUAUAUCUUGUGCGGACAUAUUGGCUGUUGCAGCUUGUGACUCUGUUGUUGCUGUGCGUAUCACUCAUUUUUUCACCUAAUAUAUGUAAGCUAAAGUUAAUUUAGUGUAUAAUUGAACUGAUAAGUAUUUUGUUACAUUGACACAGUUACAUGGACCAACAUGGGAAGUGGAACUAGGAAGAAGGGAUUCUACUACUGCAAGUAGAACCAUUGCUGACAAUGACAUUCCAACACCGUUCAGGGACUUAUCUACACUUGUCGACAACUUUAAGAAGCAAGGUUUGGAUGAGGAAGACCUCGUUGCUCUCUCCGGUGCCCACACACAUCAAACUAAGUUAUUAUAUAGAAUAAUUCAUCAAAAUAAUAUAUUUAUCAAAAAUUUUAUAAAACUAGUAUAAACGUAUUUUAUAGUAACAUUUUAGAGUAUAUUUUAUUUUUAAAAUGCUGACAGCGUUAGAUUGAUAUACGUUACUCACAGUAGAAUAAAAUGUUAAUGAGUAACGUUUUGUACUCUAUUCUAAGUUGUUUCAUAUAUAACUUUUACCUUCAAUUUAAAAGUUUUUCCCUAUCUAAUUAUAAGUUGUUUUUCUUUUAACUUCACUUUGCAUGUCCUUCCAUUCUAAUUUCUAUGGUGGCCAUGUUAUUUGCUUUACAGUUACUUGCCACUAAACUAAGUCCCGUAUUGUUAAGUAGAGAAGGGCAACGAAAUGGACCUAUUUCUUUGAUUUCUAGGAGUUAGACUUAAAAAAAAAAUUCUUUCUUGAAUUAUAUUACAAUAGCUAAAUGAAAGGAAAUUCACAUUAUUGGACAGCAUGCACAACUGAAGAUUAACACAACUGCACUAAUAAAAGACUAUCCGCUUUUAGUAAAAUUUGACGUAUUAUAAAUUGUUACUGUGAGUAACGUUUUAGGAGUAAAACGUUACUUACAGUAACGUCUAUCAAUACGGUAUUGUGAAAUACGUUUAUACUAGUUUUGUAAAAAUUUUAAAAAAUAUAUUUAUUUAGUGAAUUGCUUUAUAUAAUGACUUAGUUUGGUCAAAAAUUCUUGUAGAAAUUACUCUUUCUUCUCAAGCGUGCGGAGCGACAUAAUUGAAUUAAAAUUUAAUCCUUACAUGUUUUAUAGUUACAAAUAAGAUCAAGUCUCCAAAGGACCAAAUGGGUUGGAUAUUAUAUGAAGAAAAUGAAAGAGACAUUGAAUUAAAGGGUAAAGUCCUACACAAAUACUUUUAGUUGGCUCAAAGUUUCAUUUAGCUAAAAUUAAAUUACAGACCAACCAACCAACAAAGUUUUAUUAUAACUCCACUAUAAUGGAACCCAAAAAAAAAAAAAGACAUAACCAUAAUUAAACUCAAUCCAUAAGCAUCUUAUUCUUUGCCACCAUGAUAGGACGUGUAACACCAAUUUUAUCACUGGACCCUGCAUUGGCACAUUAAAUUAAAUCAACAUUAGCCAACAAACUUACUAGUAAUAUUUUAAACUAGUCAUUUUUACCCUUAAUAAAAUUAAAAUGAACGUAACGUACUUAGUGCAGUCAGUAGAGAGGCUAAUCUUGAAGGGACUUUUGACACCACACAUAGCAGGGAGACUAGCAGCUUUGCUCAUAUCAAUGCCUUUAAUAAUAGAAGCAGCUGAUUUAAGGCAAGAGCAUGCAGUCCUACGAUCCUGUGUUGUCUUAGCAGAGGUAAUGAGACCUUUAACAACAUCACAACACUGUCCCACGGGGCCGCGAUUCUGCAAAUAAGGGAGACACUUAACCACACCGGCUUGAACUUGACCGCAGCUAAACGCCCCAGAUGCAUACGGUACAACCAUCAACAUGCACAAAACCACAAAGCAUGCAAUUUUCCCA